UUUGAGAAAGUGUUGUCAUCCGAGAUUUAUUAUUAUGGCUUGCUAGUUGAUUAUGCUAUUGAUAUGGAUAAUCAUGAGAUCUGAGAAUUAUUGCAAAUAUGGUUAGUUAUAAUCUUUGCUGAAAACUUGAAUGCUAGCUUGACAUAUUUACAACAAGAGCAAACAGAGUUUGUAAAAGUUUUUCUUUAUUUCUUUUAGUUUGUCAACUGAAUUGCUUGAGGACAAGCAAGGGUUUAAGCUUGGGGGAGUUGAUACGUCUCCGUCGUCGUAUCUACUUUUCCAAACACUUUUGCCCUUGUUUUGGACUCUAACUUGUAUGAUUUGAAUGGAACUAACCCGGACUGACGCUGUUUUCAGCAGAAUUGCCAUGAUGUUGUUUUAUGUGCAGAAAACAAAAGUUCUCGGAAUGACCUGAAACUCCACGGAAUAUCUUACAAUAAAUAAUAAAAAAUCAUCGCCAAAGAUGAAGACCAGGGGGCCCACACCCUUGCCAUGAGGGUGGGGGGCGCCCCCCCCCCUAGGGCGCGCCCCCUACCUCGUGGGCCCCCUGGAGACCCCCCGACUCCAACUCCAACUCUAUAUAACUGCUUUCAGGGAGAAAAAAAUAGGAGAGAAGAAAUCAUCGUGUUUUACGAUACGGAGCCGCCGCCAAGCCCUAAAACCUCUCGGGGGGGCUGAUCUGGAGUCUGUUCGGGGCUCCGGAGAGGGGGAUUCAUCGUCGUCAUCAUCAUCAACCAUCCUCCAUCACCAAUUUCAUGAUGCUCACCGCCGUGCGUGAGUAAUUCCAUCGUAGGCUUGCUGGACGGUGAUGUGUUGGAUGAGAUUUAUCAUGUAAUUGAGUUAGUUUUGUUAGGGUUUGAUCCCUAGUAUCCACUAUGUUCUGAGAUUGAUGUUUCUAUGACUUUGCUAUGCUUAAUGCUUGUCACUAGGGCCCGAGUGCCAUGAUUUCAGAUCUGAACCUAUUAUGUUUUCAUCAAUAUACGAGAGUUCUUGAUCCUAUCUUGCAAGUCUAUAGUCACCUAUUAUGUGUUAUGAUCCGUUAACCCCGAAGUAACAAUAAUCGGGAUACUUACCGGUGAUUAUCGUAGUUUGAGGAGUUCAUGUAUUCACUAUGUGCUAAUGCUUUGUUCCGGUUCUCUAUUAAAAGGGGGCCUUAAUAUCCCUUAGUUUCCAUUAGGACCCCACUUCCACGGGAGGGUAGCACAAAAGAUGUCAUGCAAGUUCUUUUCCAUAAGCACGUAUGACUAUACUCGGAAUACAUGCCUACAUUACAUUGAUGAAUUGGAGCUAGUUCUGUGUCACCCUAUGUUAUGAUUGUUACAUGAUGAACCGCAUCCGACAUAAUUAUCCAUCAUUGAUCCAAUGCCUACGAGCUUUCCAUAUACUGGUUUAUGUUUAUUUACUUUCUCGUUGCUAUUGUUACAAUCACUACAAAUACCAAAAACACUACUUUGCUUUCGUUACUAUUUUGUUACCGUUACCAUCACUAUCAUAUUACUUUGCUACUAAACACUGUGCUGCAGAUACUAAGUUUCCAAGUGUGGUUGAAUUGACAACUCAGCUGCUAAUACUUGAGAAUAUUCUUUGGCCCCCCUUGUGUCGAAUCAAUAAAUUUGGGUUGAAUACUCUACCCUCGAAAGUUGUUGCGAUCCCCUAUACUUGUGGGUUAUCAGUAGGGCGUGCCCCCACCCUCAUGGACAGGGUGUGGGCCCCUGGCGUUGAUCUUUCUUCCAGUAUUUUUUAUAUAUUCUAAAAUAAUUCUUCGUUGAUUUUAAGGUCAUUCCAAGAACUUUUAUUUCUGCACAAAAAUAACACCAUGGCAAUUCUGCUGAAAACAGCGUCAGUCCGGGUUAGUUCCAUUCAAAUCAUGCAAGUUAGAGUCCAAAACAAGGGCAAAAGUGUUUGGAAAAGUAGAUAUGACGGAGACAUAUCAGUUUUCAUUUGAAACAAUGCGGAAUAGUUUCGCAACUCACGCCACCUGGAACACCACAACGUAAUGGUGUGUCCGAACAUCGUAACCGCACUUUAUUAGAUAUGGUGCGAUCUAUGAUGUCUCCCACUGAUUUACCGCUAUCGUUUUGGGGUUAUGCUUUAGAGACGGCUGCAUUCACGUUAAAUAGGGCACCAUCAAAAUCCGUUGAGACGACACCUUAUGAACUGUGGUUUGGCAAGAAACCCAAGUUGCCGUUUCUUAAAGUUUGGGGCUACGAUGCUUAUGUGAAAAAGCUUCAACCUGAUAAGCUCGAACCCAAAUCGAAGAAAUGUGUCUUCAUAGGAUACCCAAAGGAGACUGUUAGGUACAUUUCUAUCACAGAUCCGAAGGCAAGAUAUUCAUUGCUAAGAAUGGAUCCUUUCUAGAGAAGGAGUUUCUCUCGAAAGAAGUGAGUGGGAGGAAAGUAGAACUUGAUGAGGUAAUUGUACCUUCUCCCUUAUUGGAAAGUAGUUCAUCACUGAAAUCAGUUCCAGUGAUUCCUACAUCAGUAAGUGAGGAAGCUAUGAUGAUCAUGAACCUUCUGAUCAAGUUACUACCGAACCUCGUAGGUCAACCAGAGUAAGAUCCGUAGCAGAGUGGUUCGGUAAUCAUGUUCUGGAGGUCAUGUUACUUGACCAUGACGAACCUAUGAACUAUGAGGAAGAGAUGAUGAGCCCAGAUUCCGCAAAAUGGCUUGAGGCCAUGAAAUCUGAGAUGGGAUCCAUGUAUGAGAAGAAAGUGUGGACUUUGGUUGACUUGUCCGAUGAUCGGCAGGCCAUAGAGAAUAAAUAGAUCUUCAAGAAGAAGACUGAUGCUGACGGUAAUGUUACUGUCUACAAAGCUCGACUUGUUGCAAUAGGUUUUCGACAAGUUCAAGGAGUUGACUAUGAUGAGACCUUCUCACCCGUAGCGAUGCUUAAGUCUGUCUGAAUCAUGUUAGCAAUUGCCGCAUUUUAUGAUUAUGAAAUUUGCCAAAUGGAUGUCAAAACUGCAUUCCUUAAUGGAUAUCUUAAAGAAUAGUUGUAUAUGAUGCAACCAGAAGGUUUUGUCGAUCCAAAAGGCGCUAACAAAGUGUGCAAGCUCCAGCGAUCCAUUUAUGGACUGGUGCAAGCCUCUCGGAGUUGGAAUAUACGCUUUUAUAGUGUGAUCAAAGCAUAUGGUUUUAUACAGACUUUUGGAGAAGCCUGUAUUUACAAGAAAGUGAGUGGGAGCUCUGUAGCAUUUCUAAUAUUAUAUGUAGAUGACAUAUUGUUGAUCAGAAAUGAUACUGAAUUGUUGAAUAGCAUAAAAGGAUACUUGAAUAAGAAUUUUUCAAUGAAAGGCCUCGGUGAAGCUGCUUAUAUAUUGGGCAUCAAGAUCUAUGGAGAUAGAUCAAGAUGCUUAAUCGGACAUUCACAAAGCAUAUACCUUGAUAAAGUUUUGAAGAAGUUCAAAAUGGAUCAAGCAAAGAAAGGGUUCUUGCCUGUGUUACAAGGUGUGAAUUUGAGUCAGACUCAAUGUCCGACCACUGCAGAAGAUAGAGAGAAAAUGAAAGUCAUUCCCUAUGUUUCAGCCAUAGGUUCUAUCAUGUAUGCAAUAUUGUGUACCAGGCCUGAUGUGUGCCUUGCUAUUAGUUUAGCAGGGAGGUACCAAAGUAAUCCAGGAGUGGAUCAGUGGACAGCGGUCAAGAACAUCCUGAAAUACCUGAAAAGAACUAAGGAUAUGUUUCUCGUUUAUGGAGGUGAUAAAGAGCUAGUCGUAAACGGUUACGUAGAUGCAAGCUUUGACACUGAUCCUGAUGACUCUAAGUCACAAACCGGAUACAUAUUUUUAUUAAAUGGUGGAGCUGUUAGUUGGUGCAGUUCCAAGUAGAGCAUCGUGGCGGGAUCUACGUGUGAAGCGGAGUACAUAGCUGUUUCGGAAGCAGCAAAUGAAGGAGUCUGGAUGAAGGAGUUCAUAUCCGAUCUAGGCGUAAUACCUAGUGCAUCGGGUCCAAUGAAAAUCUUUUGUGACAAUACUGGAGCAAUUUCCUUGGCAAAGGAAUCCAGAUGUCACAAGAGAACCAAGCACAUCAAGAGACGCUUCAAUUCCAUCCGUGAUCAAGUCAAGGAGGGAGACAUAGAGAUUUGCAAGAUACAUACGGGUCUGAAUGUUGCAGACCCGUUGACUAAGCCUCUCUCACGAGCAAAACAUGAUCAACACUAAGAGUCUAUGGGUGUUAGAAUCAUUAGAAUGAAAUGUAGAUUAUUGACUCUAGUGCAAGUGGGAGACUAAAGGAAAUAUGCCCUAUAGGCAAUAAAAAAGUUGUUAUUUCUAUUUCCUUAUAUCAUGAUAAAUGUUUAUUAUUCAUGCUAGAAUUGUAUUAACCGAAAACUUAGUACAUGUGUGAAUACAUAGACAAAUAGAGUGUCACUAGUAUGCCUCUAAUUGACUAGCUCGUUGAAUCAAUGAUGGUUAUGUUUCCUGACCAUAGACAUGAGUUGUCAUUUGAUUAAUGGGAUCACAUCAUUGGAAAAUGAUGUGAUUGACUUGACCCAUCCGUUAGCUUAGCACGAUGAUCGUUUAGUUUGUUGCUAUUGCUUUCUCCAUAACUUAAUGCAUGUUCCUAUGACUAUGAGAUCAUGCAACUCCCGAAUACCGGAGGAACACUUAGUGUACUAUCAAACGUCACAACGUAACUGGGUCACUAUAAAGAUGCUCUACAGGUGUCUCCGAUGGUGUUUGUUGAGUUGGCAUAGAUCGAGAUUAGGAUUUGUCACUCUGAGUAUCGGAGAGGUAUCUCUUGGCCCUCUCGGUAAUGCACAUCACUAUAAGCCUUGCAAGCAAAGUGACUAACGAGUUAGUUGUGGUAUGAUGCAUUAUGGAACGAGUAAAGAGACUUGCCGGUAACGAGAUUGAACUAGGUACUGAGAUACCGAUGAUCGAAUCUCGGGCAAGUAACAUGCCGAUGACAAAGGGAACAACGUAUGUUGUUGUGCGGUUUGACCGAUAAAGAUCUUCGUAGAAUAUGUAGGAACCAAUAUGAGCAUCCAGGUUCCGGUAUUUGUUAUUGACCGGAGAUGAGUCUCGGUCAUGUCUACAUAGUUCUCGAACCCAUAGGGUCCGCACGCUUAACGUUCGGUGAUGAUCGAUAUUAUGAGUUUAUGUGUUUUGAUGUACCGAAGGUAGUUCAGAGUCCCGGAUAUGAUCACGGACAUGAUGAGGAGUCUCGAAAUGGCCGAGACAUAAAGAUCGAUAUAUUGGAAGUCUAUGUUUGGACAUCGGAAUGGUUCCGGAUGAGUUAGGGCAUUUUCCGGAGUACCGGGAGGUUACCGGACCCCCCCCCCCCCGGGAGUGUAUGGGCCUUAUUGGGCCUUAGUGGAAUAGAGGAGAGGAAGGGAAAAGGUGGAAGGCGCGCCCCCUAGCCCAAUCCGAAUUGGGUGCCCCCCUUUCCUUCCCUCUCUCCCUCCCUUCCUUCUCUCCUACUCCUACUACUUGGAAGGGGGGAAUCCUACUCCCGGUGGGAGUAGGACUCCCCUAGGGCGCGCCAUAGAGGGACGGCCCUCCCCCCUCCUCCACUCCUUUAUAUACGGUGAGGGGGAAUCCAAUAGACACACACGUUGAUCAUGGUCUUAACCGUGUGUGGUGCCCCCCUCCACCAUAAUCCACCUCAGUCAUAUCGUAGCGGUGCUUAGGCGAAGCCCUGUUCCCAUAGCUUCAUCAUCACCGUCAUCACGCCGUCGUGCUCACGAAACUCUCCCUCGGCACUCAGCUGGAUCUAGAGUUCGUGGGACGUCACCAAGCUGAACGUGUGCAGAUCGCGGAGGUGCCGUACUUUCGGUACUAGGAUCGAUCGGAUCAUGAAGACGUUCGACUACAUCAACUGCGUUGUCAUAAUGCUUCCGCUUAAGGUCUACGAGGGUACGUGGACAACACUAUUUCCCUCUCGUUGCUAUGCAUCACCUAGAUAGAUCUUGCAUGUGCGUAGGAAAUUUUUUGAAAUUACUGCGUUCCCCAACAGAUGCAGUAUAGUACAGAUAAGUAUUUCUCUCAGUUAAGAACCAAGGUUAUCAAUCCAGUAGGAGAACCACACAACACCUCGUUAACAGCACCUGCAGACAAAAUAACAAAUACUUCCACCUAACACAAACAAAGGGUUGUCAAUCCCCUGGCGGUUAAUUGCAAGGAUCAAAUCUUAUAUAGGUAGAUGGAUAAAUGAAACACAAAAUAAAAUAAAGCAAAGAAAAUUGCAGCAAGGUAUUUUUGGUUUCUGAUAUAUGAUGNNNNNNNNNNNNNNNNNNNNNNNNNNNNNNNNNNNNNNNNNNNNNNNNNNNNNNNNNNNNNNNNNNNNNNNNNNNNNNNNNNNNNNNNNNNNNNNNNNNNNNNNNNNNNNNNNNNNNNNNNNNNNNNNNNNNNNNNNNNNNNNNNNNNNNNNNNNNNNNNNNNNNNNNNNNNNNNNNNNNNNNNNNNNNNNNNNNNNNNNNNNNNNNNNNNNNNNNNNNNNNNNNNNNNNNNNNAAACGAAAUAUUGUUGGGAAAUUGAUAGAAAAGCGAAUAAUCAUGAUGAUAUCUAAGGCAAUGAUCAUGUAUAUAGGCAUCAUGUCUAUGACAAGUAGAUCGAAAUGAUUCUGCAUCUACUACUAUUACUCCACACAUCGACCGCUAUCUGGCAUGCAUCUAGAGUAUUAAGUUCAUAAAGAACGGAGUAACGCCUAAAGCAAGAUGACAUGGUGUAGACAAAGUAAACUCACGCACGAAUAAACCCCAUCCUUUUAUCCUUAAUAGCAAUGAUACAAUACGUGUCAUGUCCCUUUCUAUCAUUGGGACUGAUCACUGCAAGAUCGAACCCAUUACAAAGCACCUCUCCCAUUGCAAGAAAAAUCAAUCUAGUUUGCCAAACCAAAUCAAUAGAUCAGAGAGAAAUAUGAAGCUAUAAUAAUCAUGCAUAAAAGAGUUCAGAGAAGACUCAAAUAAUAUUCAUAGAUAAUCUGAUCAUAAACUCAUAAUUCAUCAGAUUUCAACAAACACACCGCAAAAAGUGAUUACAUCAAAUAGAACUCCAAGAACAUCGAGGGGAACAUUGUAUUGAAGAUCAAAGAGAGAGAAGAAGCCAUCUAGCUACUAGCUAUAGACCCGUAGGUCUGUGGUAAACUACUCACACAUCAUCGAAAGGGCAGCAUGGUUGAUGUAGAGCCCCUCCAUGGUUGAAUCCCCCUCCAGCGUAGUGACAGAAAAGGCCCCAGAUGGGAUCUCUUGAGAACGGAAACUUGCGGCAGCAGAAAUAGGGUUUUGGCUGGCUCUGUGUUGGUUUCUCGAUUUUAGAGAAUUCAUAGAGGCGGAAUUAGGUCAAACGGAGCAAACGUGGGCCCACAAGGCACCAGGGCGCGCCCUGGUGGCUCAUGGCUACCUCCUUCGCCUUCUGACUUCCUCCCGAAUCUUCUAGUGUCUCUCUAUCUAGAAAAAUCUCCAAAAAGUUGUUGGGGAACGCAGUAUUAAAAAAAUUCCUAUGAUCACGCAAGAUCUAUCUAGGAGAUUCAUAGUAACGAGAGGGGAGAGUGUGUCUACAUACCCUCGUAGACCGAAAGCGGAAGCGUUUAGUAACGCGGUUGAUGUAGUCGAACGUCUUCGCGAUCCAACCGAUCAAGUACUGAAUGCAUGACACCUUCGCGAUCUGCACACGUUCAUCUCGGUGACGUCCCUCGUACUCUUGAUCCAGCUGAGGUCGAGGGUGAGCUUCGUCAGCACGAUGACGUGUUGACAGUGAUGAUGAAGUUACCGAUGCAGAGCUUCACCUAAGCACUAUGACAAUAUGACCGAGGUGUAAAACUGUGGAGGGGGGCACCGCACACGGCUAAAGGUCAACUAGUGUGUCUAUGGGGUGCCCCCUCCCCCGUAUUUAAAGGAGGGGAGGAGGAGGAGGGCCGGCCACGAGGGGCGCGCCCAAGGGGGGGAAUCCUACACCUAGUAGGAGUAGGUUUCCCCCUAUCCUAGUCCUAGUAGGAGAAGAAGGAAGGAGAGGAAGAAGAGAAGGAAAGGGGGCGGCUCUCCUAGCCCUAGUCCAAUUCGGUUUGGGCUAGGGGGCGCGUGCCACACCUUGGCCUGCCUCAUUUCUUCCACCAUUAGGCCCAUGAGGCCCAAUAACUUCUGGGAGGGGGGGGGGGUUCCGGUAACCCCCGGUACUCCGAAACUUAUCCGAAAUGACCCGAACCAUUCCGGUCUCCGAAUGUAGCCUUCAAAUAUAUGAAUCUUUAUGUCUCGACCAUUUCGAGACUCCUCGUCAUGUCCAUGAUCUCAUCCGAGACUCCGAACAACCUUCGGUACAUCAAAUCACAUAACUCAUAAUACAUAUCGUCAUCGAACGUUAAGCGUGCGGACCCUACGGGUUCGAGAACUAUGUAGACAUGACUGAGACACAUCUUUGGUCAAUAAACCAAUAGCGGAACCUAGAUGCUCACAUUGGUUCCUACAUAUUCUACGAAGAUCUUUAUCGGUCAAACCGCACAACAACAUACGUUGUUCCCUUUGUCAUCGUUAUGUUACUUGCCCAAGAUUCGAUCGUCGGUAUCAUCAUACCUAGUUCAAUCUCGUCACCGGCAAGUCUAUUUACUCGUUCCGUAAUGCAUCAUCCCGCAACUAACUCAUUAGUCACAUUGCUUACGAGGCUUAUAGUGAUGUUCAUUACCGAGAGGGCCCAGAGAUACCUCUUCGGCAAUCGGAGUGACAAAUCCUAAUCUCGAUCUAUGCCAACUCAACAAACACCAUCGGAGACACCUGUAGAGAAUCUUUAUAAUCAUCCAGUUACGUUGUGACAUUUGAUAGAACACUAAGUGUUCCUCCGGUAUUCGGGAGUUGCAUAAUCUCAUAGUCAUAGGAACAUGUAUAAGUCAUGAAGAAAGCAAUAGCAAUAAACUAAACGAUCAUAGUGCUAAGCUAACGAAUGGUUCUAGUCCAUCACAUCAUUCUCUAAUGAUGUGAUCCUGUUCAUCAAAUGACAACACAUGCCCAUGGCUAGGAAACUUAACCAUCUUUGAUUAACGAGCUAGUCAAGUAGAGGCAUACUAGGGACACUCUGUUUGUCUAUGUAUUCACACAUGUACUAAGUUUCCAUUUAAUACAAUUCUAGCAUGAAUAAUAAACAUUUAUCAUGAUAUAAGGAAAUAUAAAUAACAACCUUAUUAUUGCCUCUAGGGCAUAUUUCCUUCAAAAGUUUCAUUGUAUUUGGACUUUGUUUGCUACUGAUAUUCUGAAAAAGCAAAAACAGGCAAAAAAACAGCAACUGACACUGGGCACUAGGUUAAUAGGUUUGUCCAAAAAAUGAUAUAUAAUUGCUUGUAAAUGAAUAAAAAAUAUCCAAGAUUGAUAUUAUAAUAGCAUGGAACAAUCAAAAAUUAUAGAUACGUUGGAGAAAUAACAAGCAUCCCCAAGCUUAAUUGCUACUUGUCCUCGAGUAGGUAAAUGAUAAAAACAAUUUUUUUAUGUGGAAUGCUACCUAUCAUGUUCAUCAUGUAAUCUCUAUUUUGUGGCAUGAAUAUUUAAGAUCCAAAUGAUUCAACGCAAUAGUCAGUAGUUUGACACAAAAACAAUGAUAAUAAAGCAUACAAACAAAUAAUCAUAUCUUUCAAAAUAUCAACGCUAAAGAAAGUUAUACCUUCCAAAUCAUAUAGUCGUGUCAUGCUCCAUCUUCUUAACACAAAGUAUUUAUCAUGCACAACUCCGAUGACAAGCCAAGCAAUUGGUUAAUACUUUUGAACGCGCUUCAGCAUUUUCAACUCUUACGCAAUACAUGAGCGCAAACCAGGGAUAUCUCACUAUGGGUGGAAUAGAGUAUGGUGAUAGAGAUAAUACGGAGGAGACAAAAAGGAGUAGGUCUCACAUUGACGAGGCUAAUCAAUGGGCUAUGAGAUGCCCACCAAUUGAUGGCGAUGCAAGGAGUAGGAAUUGCCAUGCAACAGAGACACUACAAGCUAUAAGUAUAUGAAAGCUCAAAAAUAAAACUAAGUGGGUGUGCAUCCAACUUGCUUGCUCAUGAAGACCUAGGGCAUUUGAGGAAACCCAUUGUUGGAAUAUACAAGCCAAGUUCUAUAAUGAAAAAUAUUCCCACUAGUUAUAUGAAAAAUGAAAGCAUAGGAGACUCUCUAUAUGAAAAACAUGGUGCUACUUUGAAGCACAAGUGUGGAAAGGAUAGUAACAUUGCCCCUUCUCUCUUUUUUCUCAUUUUUGGGCUCUUUUUUGCCUCUUUUUAUGGGCUCUUUUUGGCCUCUUUAUUUUUUAUUUCCUCACUUGGGAAAAUGCUCUAAUAAUGAAUAUGAUCAUCAUCACACUUCUAUUUACAUACAACUCAAAAGAAAUUACAACUCGAUACAAAAAUAAAAUAUGACUCUAUGUGAAUGCCUCUGGUGGUGUACUGGGAUGUGCAAUGAUCUAGCGUAACAUGUAUAAAAAAUGAUGAACGAUGGGUGAGCCACAAAUACUAUGUUAGCUAUAUGAUCAUGCAAAACAAUAUGACAAUGAUGAUGUGUGUCAUAAUGAAAUGGAAUGAUGGAAGUUGCAUGACAAUAUAUCUCAGAAAGGCUAUGAAAAUGUCACAAUAGGUAGCUAGGUAUGGUGGCUAUUCUGAGAAAGAUAUAAGGAGGCUUAUGUGUGAUAGAGGGUAUCAUAUCACGGGGUUUGGAUACACUAGCGAAGUUUGCACCACAUCUCAAGGUGAGAAAGGGCAAUGCACGGUACCGAAGAGGCUAGCAAAUUGUGAAAAGGUGAGAGUGCAUAUAAUUUAUGGACUCAUAUUAGUCAUAAAGAACUCACAUACUUAUUGCAAAAAUUUAUUAGCCCUCAAAGCAAAGUAAUACUACGCAUGCUCCUAGGGGAUAGAUUGGUAGGAAAAGACCAUCGCUCGUCCCCGACCGCCACACAUAAGGAAGACAAUCAAUAAUAAAUCAUGCUCCAACUUUUUAACAUACGAGAGACCAUAUGUGCAUGCUUCGGGAAUCACAAACCUUAACAUCAAUAUUCUUACUAAACCAUAAUUACUCACUAGCACAUCUCACAUAUUACCACAUUUAUAUCGCAAAACUAUUGCAAGGAAUCAAAUCUAUCAUAUUCAGUGAUCUACAUGAAAGUUUUUAUAUAUCCCUCUUCAAUACCUAUCAUAUUAGGACCAAAAUCACAACUCGUACUAAUUGCCAUUAGUAUUAUCAACUCUCAAAAAGAUAUAAAUGAAGCGUGAGAGUGCAACUAUUUCUUCAAAAUAAAACCACCACCGUGCUCUAAGAAAUAUAAGUGAAGCACUAGAGCAACUACCUAGCUCAAAAGAUAUAAAUCAAGAACAUAGAAUAUUCUAAUAAAUCAUGAUAAAAUAUGUGUCCCUCUCAAAUAGGUGUGUCCAACAAAGAUGCUUGUGGCCAACUACAAAGCAAACAAAGCAAAACUCAUAUAAUACAUGAGCUCCAAACAAAACUCAUAUCAUGUCAUGAAUAAAAAUAUAGCUUCAAGUAAAAGUAUCGAUGAUUGGUAGAAGAAAGAGGGGAUGCCUUCCGAGGCAUCCCCAAGCUUAGUUGCUAGGUAGUCCUUGAAUAUUACCGUGGGGUGCCUCGGACAUCCCAAACAUAGGCUCUUGCUACUCCUUAUUCCUUCAUCCAUCAUGAUCUCACCCAAAACUUGAAAACUUCAGCACACAAAACUCAACAAAAUCUUCGUGAGAUCCGUUAGUAUAACAAAGCAAAUUUCCACUUUAGGUAUUGUUGUAUACCCAUUCAUAUUUUAUUAUUUCAUUAUACCUAUUGUAUUCUAACUUCACCAUGGCUUAUACCCCCCCCCCCUCCAUACAAUCCAUAGAUUAUUAAAAACACGCAAACAACGCAACGAACAUAACAGUAUGUAAAAACCCGAAUUAUACUCAUACUUCUGGAACUCUAAAAAUUCUGAAAAAUUAGGACAGCGUGGGCAAUUUUUAUAUCAUUCAAGUGUAAAACAAUUCAGAUCAGAAACAAGUUCCAGUGAAUUUAAACAAUUCUGCUACUGGGCGCAAAAGGUUUUCUUUUUUUCACAGAAUCAAAUCAACUAUUAUUCAAAUCAUCCCAAAGGAUUUACUUGGCACAAACACUAAUUAAAACACAAAAGCGCAACCAUAACAAUAGCAUAAUUGUGUGCGCACUCAAAAACAGGGAAAAAGCUAACUAUUGGGUUGUCUUAUAACAAGCUCUUUCUUUAUAGUCAUUAAGAUAUAUGCUUGAGAUUUCAAUGAUACUCACAUGAAAGAUAGUAAUUGAAACACGAAGAGAGUAUCAUGAAGCAUAUGACAAACAUAUUUAAGUCUAUCGUUGACCAUGGUGGUAGCCCGUUAUAUCUUACCACCAACGUCUACAGUGGUAAAAAAGGGUUAGAUCCGAACUUUUUUGUAAACGGGUCAAAUCGUGCUAAACUUUCGCACAAGGGACAGAACGGUGAAUUUGGCUGCGAGAUGCUGCAGAGACUUUGGCAGACUAAUAGUUUGAUCUGGCUUCAGAAUUUGGUCAUUCUCAGCACCCUAUGUUAAUUCAAUGUGCCCUCUUCUCUAUGUCGAAUUCAGUCAUUUUGUAGAUUUUGGCUCUCUCUGUUUGGCUGUUUCCUCUCCCAUUUCAUUUUGUCAAAGUGGCGACUUGGGAGUAAGAUAAAGCAGCCAGCAUUAUCCUGACUUUGCUGAUUCCUGAUGUGAGAUCGAGUGCGUUGGAGUCAAAGGUUAGGUGACCUAAGUACUUACGUACGUGCACAGUGAGCGGGAACAAGUAUGUAAUCUCCUCUGAAUCUUGCGGCCUAUGACGGACUUUUUCCGACAGGUAACGAAAGGAGACCACGAAAGAAGCACUCUACUCACUCCAUAUUCUAUCUCAUCUCUUGGCCUAAUCGCCUCAAGACAGAGCCCAGUAACAGCGACGUUAACCAUCUCGUUAAUACAUACAUAGAUCAAGUAACGAGGAUCGAGGAAGAGCCUGCCGAAUUGCUCAACUGCACGCGGGCGCACCAAUUAUAUAUGCCCGCUUAAUCAUUCAGAGUUUCAGUUGUUUACUAUUCAACCGUCCUUGUUAGGAGGUGAAAGCGAGUAGAAAUUCAACGCGCGCGUGCAGCGGUAAUUUCCGGGCACCAUCCAUGCCGCCGAAAGCGAUCCGCGAUGUCCGGCGCGGCGCCGCUGUACGGAGAGCCCGGCCGGCCGCCACAUGCCAUGACCUGACGACCUGAGCUAUUCUAAAAAUGCCAUGACCUGAUGACCCAGAACGAUCGAGGGAUAAAUUAGCUCGGAAAAGGACGCACGGGUAGGCAGAACAAGGCAUCAACCUCGGGAUCGGUCGUGCGGGCCUAAUUAAUUUGGGUAAUAGCAAACGGCGUUUAGUCGACGACGGUCAGGUCAAUGAUUCGCUUGGAGCCGGUAGGUGUGUGCUGAUGUUAUCGCUGAUGGAAUCAAGGAGGCAGAAAUGGAUCGAAAACGGCUAGUGGCAGCAUGUGUUUAACGCAGUGUUCAGGUCGGUGGGGACACUUUGGUAGCAGCUAAGCAGGACGUGAUUAGACGCGUGAUAGUGGUAGGGACUAAUUUUACCUACUUGCUUGAGGUUUUCUUCCUGGUCUGAUCUUGUUCGUCUGUCAAGAGGAAGGGGGACAUUUAUCUGUUCAUUCUUUAGUUGCAGGUUUGAUUGAUCGACGCACGGUGAGCCGCGCGAUGUGUACGUAUGUCGGGCUCGCCAGCAACUUCUCCCUCUCUUUUUCCUCUCCAAGCAACUCAACACGUGGCAAGCCCCAAUAAUCAAUCUGCACUUUUCUCUUUCUACAGUACUCUGAGCUAGCUGGUAGUAGAUGCAUGUACACGGCAACACUGUCGUCCACAUCCACAUGACCACAUGGCACGCCUCUCACGUUUCACGGCCAAGGCAAAAGGCACAGGAGUAUGGACCUACUACGUGCGUACGUGCUUCUCCAAUGAUUGAUCGCAUAUACUCCAAGGCUUCAUGACUACUGUAGCGGCAUGUCGGCAGCAGAGAAUAUGACGUUCGGGUCGACCCUGGGCCAUGACACGCACGCAUGUACAGUAUCAUGCAUGCAUGCUUGAAGCAAUAAGGAUCGAUUUUGGAGGCUAGCGCGUGGGAUUUAUGGAGAAGAGAUCGACGGCAAUGAAUGCAAUCAUCCCAGAUCGAUCUCUGUCCAGACGUCCUUCGGUACACAUUUUGAUUGAUUGUCCUUGUGUCGUGUGCGCAUCAGCGCGUGGUCGAGGGAUCGUCCACGAAGAUUGCAAUUGCAACUGUAGCUAGAGGUCAUCGUUUUCGCCUGUUCAUUAUUUGGACUUGGACAGGGUUGGUUUCUCUCUCUCGGCUCGCAUGAUUCAUGCAAGAUGCAGCUCAGCAUUUGAGAGGAAUGGAUUUAGAUGCAGAGUUGCGUGGGAAUAAUGCAACGUUGGCCUACGUACGUGCCGAGCCUCCGUCGCACAGAUUUUGUCGCCGAUCCCUCGCGCUCGCAUGCAGAGCUGCAACCUACUCUUUUCGUUUCUAAAUAUAAGUCCUUAUAGAGAUUUUUAUAAACUACUUAUGAAGAAAAACGGAGGGAGUAGCUAGCAUCUUGCACGCCAUGACACCAACAUCAUGAGACGUUGCAGCACGCACAAGCCUCACCUCCCUGGCCACAUGCCCGUGCCACGCGACGUGGUGGCCGUGCCUUAGGCUGAUUAAUUAAACCACUAAUUAACCAACCAUGUCACCGUCAUGGGCACUAUAUAUUUGUAAAUAAAUUUUAUGGAUCCAAAAUGUUGGUGCUUCACCAACACACUGAAGCAACAGCAGCCCCGUCGAUCGUUGCCAACACGAGAAGCCAACCGCGCGCAUGGAAAUGACGCGUGCAUGCACUGUGUCAUCUAUAUCUAGCGCUACAAAUAGAUACCAGUCUUUAAUAGACAUUUUUUCUUUCUUUUCUGAACCAGAUAGUCUAAUGGACAAUUGGCCAUGGCGAUGGCACCGCUGCUUGGCGCCAAGCUGUACCAGAUCGACUUGUAUUCACAUUUUGUGUGGAACUUCAGAGCCACGUAUAGUAGAUACUCCCUCCUUCGGGUUUAUUAGACCUAAAGACAAUUUUAUUAAACCAAGAUAUAUAUGGGGUGUUUCGUUCAGGGACUUUUUAGUCCCAGAGACUAGAAAAAGUCCAUAGAAACCAAACGGGAGGGACUUUUUUUACAGGGACUAGAAAAAGAUUCUACUGGAGAGUCUUUUUUGAUUAGUCCCUGGGAGUAGAAAAAGUCCUAGGACUUCUAAACCAAACACCCCCAUAGUAUACGCAUAGACGAUCCGAUCUGGGCAUAUAGCAUUUCAUGUGAGUGGUGUUUUGACCCGGGCGUCGGUGAAAUUAGAGCAUAUUCCCGCCCGUGCGCCCUGAAAAGUAGUGAAGCCGCAAUAUGGACCCGGGGUUCCCGCGUUUGACCGUGCGUGCGUGCGUGCGGUCUGGACGGUUUGGGAUCGUGUGUAGCUGACAGAUUAUUAAUCGGUCCAUGUCUCGAGUCUGCAGCAGAUUCCCUUUGCCUCGGGUUCAACGAGCCUAGGUUUUUGGGUUGGAUUGCUCUGCCCCCGGCGUGCAUGAUUCCUGGAACAAGAGGACGAUGGGAGACGCACCACACCAAUACAACUUAUUAUUAUUUUUCGAAACAAAAGCAAAGUAGUAUUUGCCUCAUCAAUUUAUUAAGAAGAAGAGAAUUGUCCAGUUAAUUUUUAGAAAACUAGGCAAAAACCGAUACAAACAACCCGAAACAUGCUACUCGAGAAGCACGAAACACCGUGACCACACAGACAACCCGUCACAUGCUUCUAACAUAUAACAAUCGUACCUCACCACACUUGCACAACUCAAGAGAACCCUGACAAGAACACCAACAAGGAUGACUCGGACAAUCAAAGCCACAUCGACAACACAAGAAACUGAGCAUCAUCCCUCAAGAAACCGCAGACGCCUUCCCAUUAGCGCACACACCGGAUACAUCAAUAUCCUCAACCACAUGCACCUCCGACCCGAAGGACUCAGAAGACGCCUCUGGAUGCUCACAUGACAGACAUGAAUCGUCUCCCUCACACGAGGUCACUAGUGAGUCCACCUUCAUGUGCUUCACUGACAAAAGCGAAGCAGAGCUCAUACAUAGCUCCCUAAUCUCGGGCAUGAUUUGCAGCACCGGAGCCAUGAGCAUGGCGAUGGACUUGUCUUGAGUGGUACAUAACACAGGGGGCGAGGCAAACAUUGAAGAUGAAAAGUCCCCAACACGGGGGGAGAAACAACCAUGUAACUUUGCCUCCAUGUCCUCCUCGGAGCAAACACCAACUGCAAGGCAGCUUAGUGUUUUUUUAAUAAAGGACGGCAGCUAAUACUGUAGCUAGAUCGCUUCUAAUUUCGUCUUCUUCUUUGUUUUUGAACCGGCAGUUCUUUACACUAAUUUCAGAUCGGCAGUUAGUGGCUUAUACUAAACCGGCGAGUUCGGUUUUCAUUUCUCCUAUUUUUUUCUCCAGGGGAACGGGCGAAGUCACUCACUAAGUCGUUACUCUCUUUUUUUGGAGAAGACGCUAAGUCGCUACUUUUUCUUCUUCUUCUUUUUUGAGAUCCGCAUUUUUUUGAGCGGACUUUUUUUUUGCGACCCACUAAGUCGCUACUAGUCCAUAUGGGUCUGAAUGCGAACAGUGGCCCGUGUACAUCAACCUUGGCCCAUGUAAACGGGGCGAAGGAAGGGUAUGUACCAAAAAUGUUUUGAGUUUAAAUAAAAAUUAUUAUUAUCUGCAAAAAAACUUGUUCUUCCAGGGACAAAAUCUCAAAUUUGCAAAAUGUUCACAAGUUUUCAAAAAAUUUACGUCAGUUUUAAAAAGUUCAAGUUUUUUUUCAAAAAUGGUUCUCGAAUUAAGUUUAUGUUCUCAAAAAACGUUCUCACAUUCUUUUUAAAAAAUAUUCAUUUUAUAAAACUUGAACUUUAAUAAUCGAAACAUUUUAUAAAAAUUAAUAUUUUUGGAUAAAUGAAUAUUUGUUAUUUACAAGCAUUUUUUAAAAGUCUGAAACAUUCUCGAAUUUUCUGAACAUUAAAAAACCAAAAAUAAAUCUGUAAAGAGAAAAUAGAAAAUCUAAAAUACUAGAUGCAAAUUGCUAAAGGCUAGGUAGGAGUAAUGGAUGAAUGAAUCUAUAUUUUUUUUGGCUUCUACGUGGGUUGUAGGAUAGGGAAAAAACGAAUCUAGUAACUCUGUAAGUCUCUCACCGAUAAACUCCGAUGCUUGAUCUCGUAUCUGAAAAACAUGUUUGUGCGUAUGGAGGAGGACAUGGUCACAUCAGGCCUCAAGGGCGCCCUCCCAGUCACUGCUAUUGGGCCAGCCCAAGUAGUUUCCUGCAUAUACAUUCUUUUUUUUAAUUUGUUUGUAUUUUUGAAAAUAUCAUGAAUAUGUAUGAUUCAAAAUUAUAUUUACUUAAUUUUUAAAUGUUCACCGCGCAUUAGAAAAUGCUAACACAGUGUAAAGUGUCCGUUUGUGCAACCUUUUAAAAAUGUUGAUAGCAUUCAAAAGGGUGUUCAUGACAUUUAAAAAAUGUCACACAUUUCAAAAAAUGUCCGUAGCAGUUUUCAAGAAAAAUUAUAUACAAUGGAUUUUUUUAACUCUAUUCAACAGAAAAAUCGUGCGUUCAGAAAUUGUAGGAGUACAUGACAUUUAAACACAUAUUCACGCAUUUCAAAAACAUUCAUGGCAUUUAAAAAAAUUAUGUAAUGUAAACAAAAUGUUCGCGAGUCUAAAAAAUACUAUUUCAUAUCAUUGCAUGGAUAGCUCGGCUCCGUGGCAACCGAACCAACCAACCAACCGUGCAAAAGAUGCACAUAUAUGAUCCUGAAAAAACAAACACUUGAUGCACAUAUAUCUCUGUUUUGCAGAGACUUUAGCAUACCAAUAGUUCGAUCUGGCUUCCUAUAUUAAUUCAGUGUGUCCUUUUUCUCCAUGUCAAGAACUGGAAUUCAGUCAUCUUUAGCACUGGUAAGAUUUUGGCUCUCUCUGUUUGUCGUUUCCUCUCCCUUUUCCUUUGUCAAAAUGGAGACUUGGGAGUAAGAUAAAGCAGCCGGCGUUAUCCUCACCUUGACUUUGCUGAUUCAGACUUUUAAUGUGACUGUGAGAGUUCGUCCAGUCAAUGCCGGUUUAGGUGACCUAAGUACGUGUACACAGCGGGAGGGAACAAGUGUGUAAUCUCCUCUGAAUACAACGGCCCGUGACGGGAAGUUCAGACUUUUUCCGACAGGCAACAAAAGCAUGAGAUGAUAUUUUAUCCCAUCUCUUAUUAGCCUAAUCGCUUAAUCGACAGCGAUGUUAAUCUUGCUAGCUAGUAUACAUGGAUCAAGUAACGAGGCUCGAACAAGAGCCUACCGGAAGCCGCCGAAUUGCUCGGACGCACGACGGUGCACCAAUUAUAUGGCCGCUUAAUCAUUCAGACUUGCACUUGUUUACUGUCCAACCGUCCUUGUUAGCAGGUGAAAGCUACCUGGUAGUAGUAAAUUCCACGCACGCGAACUGGGCGCGGCGGCGGCGGUAAUUUCCGGGCACCGUCGUGGCACUGUCACGCCGCAGAAAGUGCCCGUACGGCGCCGCCGUAUGGAGAGAGCCCAGCCCUGCCGGCACAUGCCAUGAUGAACAGGUCGAUCGAGGGAUAAACUAGCUGGAGAAGGACACGAGCCCGGGUAGGCAAAGCAGAAUAGUAAGGCAUCAACCUAGGGAUCCAUCGUGCGCGCCUAAUUAAUUGUGUAAUCACAGGCCGUUUACGUCGACGACGGUCAGGUCAAUGAUCUGCUUGGAGCGGAUUGGUAAUGGUAAGCGCUGAUGGAAUGAAAGAAGCAGGCAGCAGGGAUCGAAUAUGGGUAGCACCAUAUGUUUAGUUUAACGCAGCGUUUAGGUCGUUGGGGACUCUUGCUAAGUACAGUAGGACGUGAUUAGACGCGUGACAGGGAUGUGUUACCCGUGCGUUGCUUGGUUACUUUUUUUUACCUACGUAUUUGGAGUUUUUCUUGGUCUGAUCUGUUUUCCUUUGUCAAAAGGGAGGCAUCGAUCUCCUUCAUUUCUUUCACACUCCAGUUUUGUUGCAGGUCUGACGGAGCCAUACAUACAUGCCACUCUUCGAGUAGGAGCAUGACGAGCCAAGAUGCGUACGUGGGGCUCGCCAACCUCUUUAUCCUUCUUUUCUCCGGGAUUGCCAAGUCUCAGUUGACUUAGCGAAGUCUCAAUCGAUGCUAUAUUCAUUAUCUUACACAUAAAGAUUCAUGUAAAAUUUUCUUUAUUUUUUCUUCUUCUUCUUUAUAUGUUCUGUAUCAUUUGACUGCAGACGUCGACUGAAAUCUAGUCACAUAUUUUUCUCUCUCCAAAAAACAAAGGGGCUCCUUAACUCAACACGGGUGUCAACCAAGCCCCAAUAAUCAAUCUGCACUUUUCUCUUUCUACAGUGCUGUGCAGCUAGCUGGCAGUAGAUGCAUGUAGACGGCAACAGUGUCGUCCACAUCCACAUGACCACAUGGCACGCGUCUCACGUCCCACGGCCAACACAGAAGACAGAACAGUAUGGUCCUACCCGUGGUGCUCCAAUUGAUCAUGCUCCAAGGUUUCGUGACUAGCACCACUAUACAUGGCCGCGGAGACUAUGACGCUCUGCUCGAUCAACGGCACGCACGCAUGAAUCAUGCAUGCUUGAAGCAAACGAUUCAUUUUGGAGGCUAGCGCAUGGGAUUUACAGGGAAGAGAUCGACGGCAAUAAAUGCAACGACCCCAGAUCGAUCUUUGUCCAGACACCGUUUCAGUACGUAGGUCCUGAUUGAGUUAAUUCCUAACGUAACCUACGACUCUUAUCACGUGCGUAUCAGCGCAUGCAUGGUCGAGGGACUGUCCACGAAGAUGGCAACUGUUCCACUGGAAGUAGAAGUCACCUCACACACUGUAGCUAGAGGUCAUCGUUUUCGGCUGCUUUCACGUACGCACUGUAGUAGACAUGUUGGUUGGUUUCCUCUCACGUUUUCGCAUGCUUUCUUGCCUGGUUUCCCAAUUUGUUUUUCCUUAAAGAAGCAAGAAGAACCUCCCUCUGUCCUUCACUAGUUCAUAAAACAGUUAAGUGGGCCUUUUCUCAUCGGCUGACCCCAUCCGUGAUCCAUCUGAAAAAUGCCCGGUUCACAUUCCUUGUCUCUACCAUUGAUCGGUGCAGCUCAGCAUUUUAGUGGAGCGGAUUUAGAUGCAGGGUUGCGUGGGAAUAAUGCAACAACUACACUUCGUCGGGCAGGUUUUGCCGCCAAACGCGCGCUAGCUCGCAUGCAUGCACCUAGCGUCCUAGCGGUGGCCGGGUGCGGCUACCGAUUUUUUUAUUAAUGGUAAAUGAUAAUUCUGUAAUUCUCAAACUAGUAACAGCCAGUGAAAAUUAUAAAAAUAGGAAGGACGCUAAGAAUAAUAGCGUUCAGGUUGGACUCUAUUGCUAACUACGUCCAGAUCUGGACGCUAGUAUAGACGGUGUUCAGUCAUGCCGUUUGAUUAGUAUCUAAUUAGGCUUAAUCGUGUUGUUUUCCUCUGAUAGAUAGAUAUUUCAUGACCUAUAAACCUUAGUACGCCGGCGGUCGUCGCUUCUUACUUUGCUGGGUGGUAAGCAAACUCUAGCAGCGACAGCACCAAACAUUAUUGGAUGCAGGAGCAACAUCAUCUGGCUGGCGACUUGUCAUUAGAAUCAUUUCCUCGUCAUUAGGAUAACCCACUGAACCUAUGGUUGGCGCAUGUGAGUUGUUCCACGGCCUGGUUGAAUUUUCUUGGUUUGGUCUUCUUUACAAUUUAUUUUAUGGUUGCGAGUGUAUAUUGUAUAGACGACUGGGUUGUUACUCUUUGGUAAUACAAUUGGUAAUUGGCUAGUUAUGAGAACAGAUAAGUCGGUCUUGAGUCGGCGGGGUCAUGCUUUCGCCUCUAAGUGUUGGUGCACCGUUGCCGGUACUUUUGGAAACAUGACGUGCCGGUGCCAUAUCCCGAAGUGAACCUGCCGCACGGAUCAUACCUCAACCUCGAUAGGGUUCCGGUGCCAGCCAUACCAGACUCAGGCCGCGCGCAACUGACGGAGAUCCACCACCAUCGUGCUCUACUCCCGGCCAACCUCCGUCGCGACCCAGCUUACACGAUGCAUUCACCGAACUGGGACGCGGUCGACAAGAAGGCCUAGCGGUAGGCGGCGGAGCGCGAUCGACGAGAAGGCCUAGUGGUAGGCGGCGGAGCGCACGAUGUUGGCCGAGUGAUAAGCAAAGCAGCAGCUGGGAGCCUUCCAGCAGAUGUUCCCAUGGAUGGAGUUGCCGAUCUAUGUCGACCUGACCAAGGUGGAGGAGGACAAUGAUGACACCUAGAUCUACCGCCCGCCCCUAACUAAUUUUCUAAUGUUUUCAUUUAAUAAUUUUUAGUUUCAAUUAAAAUAAACUAGACCUUUGUAGGCUGUUUUAUAAAAAAAUCAAAAUCCAACGCAAAUGUGAAAUGUGUGUGUCUGUGUUGCUCGCAUCUUUGGACUGACGGACAAAAACAUGUUCGCCUGACCCAUCAAACAAAUAAAGAACAAAUAAAAUCUAUGCCAGUUUGGGUUGUUUGCAGUUUCCCUUAGGUUGGACGUUAAACCAAACAUUAGACGCUGCUAAUUAACAACAGCAUACAAGUAUGGACGUGGUUCGUAACAGCGACCAGCCCUGGACGCUACUGAUAAUGGCAUCCUUCCUAUUUUCCAAAUUUCCAACUUAUCAUUACUAGUUCAGAAUUACAGCAUUAUUAUUUAUUAUUAAUAAAAAAUCGGGUGCGGCUAGGCUAGCAGCCUAGCACCUCGCACGCCAUGACGCCAAUGACAUGAGACGUUGCAGCACGCACAAGCCUUCCCCUCACCUUCCCUCCCUGGCGCGCUACAUGUCCGCGCCACGCGGCUUGGUGGCCAUGCCUUAGGCCAAUUAAUUAAACUGCAAAUUAAUUAAUUAAUCACGUCGUCAUCAUGGGGACUAUACAUUUGUAAGCUAUAGAUAUGGAUCCAAAUCGUUUGUGCUUCACCAACACACUGAAGCAAAACACAACCCGGUCGAUCGUUGCCAACACGAGAAGCCAACCGCGCGGGAAUGACGCAUGCAUGCACCACCGUGUACAUCGAUCUAACUGAAUCUGCAUAUCUAGCGCCACAUAGGCAAAUGGCAAUGGCUAUAGACCUGUAGUACCUAGUAUGUGCUUCGCGCCGAGCUGUACUGGAUCGACUUGUAUUCUGUACAACAGGGCGGGUAACAUCAGCACCGGAACUUGAGAGCCACCUACAGUAUAUACUUGCAUAGGCUCGUCGAUAUGCACGGCUCGAUAGGGUGCGUAGACGACAGGGACAGAUAUAUACGUACGCUUGCAAGGUGUUUAAUUACUGGAAUGUACGUGUACAUAUCCGGAGAAAACGUCGUUUGCCCUGGCCUCCAUUUUCUUAAUCGAGAGGCCUCGUCGGGUCAGGACAUUCGAGAUGGUGUGUGCAGAGGCAUGGGAAUUUAAUGGGAAACGAACAUCAAAGAGUAUUAUGAUAUUGCAAAUGAGCAGGACCAUGUGGGCAAAGCUCUCGGCCACAAUCUGCACAUAAGAAGUAUGAUAUAUAGUGAUUAAACGGUUUUAUAUUUCUUUACAGAGAGAGUGGUAUACAGCAAGCAACAAAUUACCUUUUUGUAUGGCGAACAACAAAUUGCUGGUAUACGAUAUUGUAUAAUAUACCUUUCCAUGGGCUCUUGGUGCUCAUGUGGCAAGGAUCUAGUGGUGCAUCUUUUCUUUGGCAGUCUUCAACAUUAUACUUCCUUUAUUAUCUCUCCUUUUUUCUGUUGUAAAAAAAGGUCUAGAUAGGUGCACCCUUAGUAGGUCUACUUAUUACGUGACGUUGAUGCUAGAUCCUCUUCCCGUACGCUUUGACACCAGUAGUGGUACAGUAUAAUUUACUUGAGACACACGCUACAUAUGUCCCGUUAAUGCCGUCAACUUGAGUGCUAUAUACUUCAGUCCAAACACCCCAGGAAAUCUCGGGCAGAAUCUGAAACUUCAUCUUGGUGUACAAGAUGAAGCCUUCUCAGAAAAAUAUCUCGGUUUACCUACUGCAGUAGGCAAGAUCAGUAGCGGCACGUUUGAACACUUGGGUGACCGAGCGCGGGGCAAGAUGAACGGAUGGUCAGAGCGGCUUUUUGUAUGUGCAGGGAGGGAGACACUCCUAAAAUCUAUCGUGCAAGCGAUCCCGACAUUCAGCAUGAGCGUUUUCCUCUUGACCAAAAAGGUGUGUAAGAGUUUGACCUCAAGUAUGGCGAAAUACUGGUGGGGAAGUUCCCUUGAUCGUCGAUCCUUACACUGGCUAGCCUGGGAUAAAUUGGCUACGCCCAAACCCAACGGGGGGAUGGGCUUUCGCGACAUGCGAAUUUUCAACUUGGCUCUAUUGGGAAAGCACGGAUGGAGAUUUAUGACCAACCCGGAUUCACUGUGCGCCAAGGUUAUGAAAGGUAGAUACUUUCCCAACUCUGAUUUCAUGCAAGCUUCUGUUCCAAAGUCGUCUUCAGCUGUUUGGAGAGCGAUUGUGGCAGGCCAGAAAGCACUAAAUACAGGGCUUGUGAAGAGAGUGGGCGAUGGAUCUUCUAUUCGGGUGUGGGAGGACAAGUGGAUUCCAUCCACCAACACCAUGACCCCCCUGCUACGACCAACUCACACGGCAGUCCAGACUGUCAAUGAUCUUAUUGAUACAUCUAACUGGACAUGGCGCCGUGAUCUUGUACGAGAGACUUUCAUUGCUCUGGAUGCUGCGGCGGUCCUAAACAUACCACUGCGGCAUGGAGGAGGGGAGGAUUUCCUAGCCUGGGCACAUGAGAAGUCAGGCAUCUAUACUGUUAAAUCGGCGUAUCGAGCUCUGGUGAAUCAAAAAGAGCGACUAGCUCUAGAGGAGGGGCAGAUUACCGGCACUUCAACGAAUCAGCAACAGUUGUGGAAGGAUGUUUGGAAACUCAAUGUAGUCCCAAAAGUAAGAGUUUUUUUGGUGGCGCGUGUUAAGGGGCACUCUACCAGAUGAGAGCACCUUACAUCGUCGUCAUAUUCGAGAAACCAGCACCUGCAAGGUCUGCCUCGCCAUGGAUGAGGAUCUGGAGCACGCUCUGCUGCUCUGUUCCCAUGCACACCGUUUUUGGGAGGAAGCCCGGUUGCUCUUCGACAUCAACAUCCCGCAGCUACACCCACACACUUGGGCUCGAGAUAUUUCAUGUGACCAUCGCUUCUCUGAUAAAGAACGGGCGAUCAUUGUCACAGUCAUGUGGGCUAUUUGGACGUCUCGUAACCGAUUGACACACGACAGAGACGGGGUGGAUCCAGCCAGAUCCGUUCGAAGAAUCAGGGAGGACCUCGCCAUUCUUGAACUGCCUCGACAGUUCAGUUUGGUACUGCCUGGUUAUGGUUGGCAGCCACCAGCUGAUGCUACCAUUAAGAUCAACACUGAUGCAGCUAUACAUUUAGAUGAUGGGCAAGCAGGAGCAGGUGGAGUUGCCCGAUCUUUCUCGGCUCUAAAGGGUGCAUGGUGCAAGCCCCUUCCCGGAGUUACGGACCCCCUCAUCGCCGAGGCCCUAGCUCUCAAGGAAGGAGUGAUUUUCGCUUCCCUACGCGGCUACACACAUGUGAUCAUAGAGACCGACUGUCUAGAGGUAGUAAACCUCUGGAACUCGCGCCUCACCGACCGUUCGGUGAUUGCACCUAUCUUGGCAGAAGUUGGAGAGCUCUCUCUUAGUUUUUUCUCAUUUGUAAUUCAACAUGUACUGAGACCAGCUAACGGUCCUGCACACCUGUGUGCUAAGCGAGCUUGUUCGCUUAACGUGACCGAAAGCUGGUUGGACUCUAUCCCUAGCUUCCUGAUCAGCGGCCUUCUGGCUGACUGCUCGGUGAAUGCGUUCGUUGAAUAAAGCUUUCAAAAUUCCCCGCAAAAAAAAACUUGCACAUAUUAUACAACAUAUACUUGCCUGUAUUAAUCUACCAUUUACAGCUACACUAAUGUUCAAUGGCUAUUGCUAUAUUGCACAGGCGCACAAAUGGUAGAUUAAUGUAGACGUACAAUAUAGCAAUUGGUUACCGGUACAAAAACGUCACCUAAGCUACUUGACUUUCCUGUAGAUCAAUGUACUGAUAGAAAUUGGUUACCGGUACAAAAACGUCACCUAAGCUAUAGAUUGCUAGCUAGAUGGAUUGACUUUCCACUAAGUUUGGGUUUUGUAUGCAGGGAUUUCUGCUUGACUUUGGUACGAACAUACGUACACGCGGUGCACUCUGGUAUUUUAUACACAAUUUUACCGUUGAACAUACAGAUAUAGCCAAGGCUAUUUUAAGGCAAGCUAUUGUUUGGCAAUGCAACUCACAUUGAUUUGGGUGCAUACACGCACGUAUAUAUUUACAAUGAGCAGCCCACGGCCUCGACUAUACAUGGUAACUAGGAGGCGGGGUAAGGUAGGAAAUGAUCCUACAUAUACAUGCGAUAUACUACCUAUACAGAAUAUAUUCAANNNNNNNNNNNNNNNNNNNNNNNNNNNNNNNNNNNNNNNNNNNNNNNNNNNNNNNNNNNNNNNNNNNNNNNNNNNNNNNNNNNNNNNNNNNNNNNNNNNNNNNNNNNNNNNNNNNNNNNNNNNNNNNNNNNNNNNNNNNNNNNNNNNNNNNNNNNNNNNNNNNNNNNNNNNNNNNNNNNNNNNNNNNNNNNNNNNNNNNNNNNNNNNNNNNNNNNNNNNNNNNNNNNNNNNNNNNNNNNNNNNNNNNNNNNNNNNNNNNNNNNNNNNNNNNNNNNNNNNNNNNNNNNNNNNNNNNNNNNNNNACAUCACCUGUGAUGCAAAGACUGGACCGAAACUCCUCGAAUGUAGUCGUCGGUAACCCCUUGGUCAUAACAUCGGCAAACUGCUGAGCGGUGGGGACGUGCAAGACCCGGAUGUGACCAAGAGCCACCUGCUCACGCACGAAGUGAAUGUCGAGCUCGAUGUGCUUCGUGCGACGAUGAUGAACGGGGUUGGUGGAGAGGUAGACGGCAGAGACGUUGUCGCAGUAGACAACAGUAGCCUUGGCCACGCCAAGGUGCAACUCCUGAAGAAGCUGCCGUAACCAGGAGCACUCGGCAACAGCAUUAGCCACAACGCGGUACUCAGCCUCAGCAAUCGACCUGGACACCGUGGGUUGUCGUUUAGAUGACCACGAGAUGAGGGAGGGCCCGAGGUAGACGCAGUAGCCGGAGGUGGAGCGCCGAGUGUCAGGACAGCCAGCUCAGUCGGCAUCGGAGUAAGCCACCAGAUCAGUGGAGGAAGACGCCAUCAACGUGAGACCAAGACCCAUAGUGCCGCGGAUGUAACGAAGGAUCCGCUUCACCAGGGACCAGUGAGAGUCACGGGGAGCGUGCAUGUGUAGGCACACCUGCUGAACCGCGUACUGUAAGUCGGGACGAGUGAGCGUCAGGUACUGAAGAGCGCCGAUGAUGGACCUGUAGAAGGCGACGUCCUGCACCGGCGUGCCCUCAAGAGCGGAGACCUUAGCCUUUGUGUCGAUAGGCGUAGGUGCAGGCUCGCAGUUAAGCAUGCCGGCGCGCUCGAGUAACUCCUGGGCGUACUGCUGCUGAUGAAGAAAGAACCCGUCCGCUCGGCGCACUACCUCGAUUCCAAGGAAGUAGUGUAAAGGACCAAGGUCCUUCAUGGCGAACUCAGUGCCGAGGCGGGCGGUGAGCUGACGGGGAAGCUCGGUCGACGAAGCAGUCAGGAUGAUGUUGUCGACGUAGAGCAGCAGGUAAGCCGUCCCACCAGCGUGCUGAUAGACGAAUAGAGAGGCGUCCGAGUGAGUGGCCACGAAGCCAAGCUGCUGAAGGAAUGCAGCAAUCCGCUGAUACCAAGCAUGAGGGGCUUGCUUGAGCCCAUAGAGUGAGCGCGAGAGCAGGCAUACGUGAUCCGGCUGGGUGGCGUCGACGAAGCCAAUGGGCUGCUGACAGUAGACCUGCUCGGCGAGAUGGCCAUGAAGAAAUGCGUUGGAGACGUCCAUCUGGUGAACGGGCCACGUGCGAGAGACCGCCAGCUGCAGGAUAGUGCGGAUGGUGCCCGGUUUGACAACCGGGGCGAAAGUGUCGGUGAAGUCCACACCGGCACGCUGGCUGAAUCCACGAACAACCCAACGAGCCUUGUAGCGCUCGAGGGUCCCGUCAGGGCGAGUCUUAUGACGAAAGACCCACUUGCCGCUGAUCACGUUAGCGUGCGGCAGCCGAGGCACCAACUGCCAGGUGUGGUUGCACUGAAGAGCGUCAAACUCCUCCUGCAUCGCGGCGAGCCAAUGAGGGUCACGAAGAGCCUCUCGAGCCGACGAUGGGAGGGGAGACGGCGCCGAGGUGGACGGCACCGAGGUGGAGGCCGCAAGAAGGUACUCGUCGGCGGAGUACCACUGACUCAGGCGCAGCACAUCGGUCCGGGCACGAGUCACCAUGCGGGGUGGCGUCGGGGCCGGGGAGGCGGGCGAGGGUGAAGAAGAGCCCGCCGAGGCCAAGCCUGCCGAGGUCGCGGGAGAACUCGGCGCGGACCCGGGCGCUGGAGAGGCCGACGAGGGCGCCUCGGCCGAGACUGCCGGAGAGCCCGAGGCGCUCGGCGCGUGAAGAGCCGCCGAAGAGCCCGACACAGGGGUCCCGGCGGAGGGCGCGGAUGGCGAGGGAGGCGCCGACUCGAUGGGCGUCGCUGCAGGAGGCGUCGGGGGCGCCGCGGUGGAGCCAGGGGCCGAACCCGCAGCCGCCGAGUGGGGCGUCGAGCCUGCAGCCCGCGAGGGGGGCAGGGGGCCGAAGCUAGGAGGCGGCCCGAGGAAGGCCCGAGGGCGCGUGCGCGCACCAAGGGGGCCCGAGGCCGAGUUGCCAGGAGUGGGUGGUGAAGGCACCGGCGAGUCGGUCGGUGGUACCUGCUGAAACGGAAAAACCCUUUCAUCAAAGUAAACAUGUCUAGAAGUGAAAACUGUUGGGGAACGUAGCAGAAAUUCAAAUUUUCCUACGUGUCACCAAGAUCUAUCUAUGGAGAGACUAGCAACGAGGGGAAGGAGAGUGCAUCUACAUACCCUUGUAGAUCGCUAAGUGGAAGCGUUCAAGUGAACGGGGUUGAUGGAGUCGUACUCGUCGUGAUUCAAAUCACCGAUGAUCCUAGUGCCGAACGGACGGCACCUCCGCGUUCAACACACGUACAACCCGGUGACGUCUCCCACGCCUUGAUCCAGCAAGGAGAGAGGGAGAGGUUGAGGAAGACUCCAUCCAGCAGCAACACAACGGCGUGGUGGUGAUGGAGGAGCGUGGCAAUCCUGCAGGGCUUUGCCAAGCACCUACGGGAGAGGAGGUGGUGUCAAGGGAGGGAGGGAGGCGCCAGGGACUCAGGUAUGGAUGUCCUCCCUCCCCUCCACUAUAUAUAGGGGCAAGGGAGAGGGGGGAGGCGCAGCCUUGCCCCUUCCUCCAAGAAAGGGGUGCGGCCAAGAGGGGGGAGGAGUCCAUCCUCCCCAAGGCACCUCGGAGGUGCCUUCCCCUUUGAGGACUCUUCCCUCUAGGGUUCCCUAGGCGCAUGGGCCUCUUGGGGCUGGUGCCCUUGGUCCAUAUAGGCCAAGGCGCACCCCCUACAGCCCAUAUGGCCCCCCGGAGCAGGUGGACCCCCCCGGUGGACCCCCGGACCCCUUUCGGCACUCCCGGUACAAUACCGAUAAAGUGCGAAACUUUUCCGGCGACCAAAACAGGACUUCCCAUAUAUAAAUCUUUACCUCCGGACCAUUCUGGAACUCCUCGUGACGUCCGGGAUCUCAUCCGGGACUCCGAACAACAUUCGGUAACCACAUACAAGCUUCCUUUAUAACCCUAGCGUCAUCAAACCUUAAGUGUGUAGACCCUACGGGUUCGGGAGACAUGCAGACAUGACCGAGAUGUUCUCCGGUCAAUAACCAACAGCGGGAUCUGGAUACCCAUGUUGGCUCCCACAUGUUCCACGAUGAUCUCAUCGGAUGAACCACGAUGUCAAGGACUCAAUCGAUCCCGUAUACAAUUCCCUUUGUCUAGCGGUAUUUUACUUGCCCGAGAUUCGAUCGUCGGUAUACCGAUACCUUGUUCAAUCUCAUUACCGGCAAGUCUCUUUACUCGUUCCGUAACACAUCAUCCCGUGAUCAACCCCUUGGUCACAUUGUGCACAUUAUGAUGAUAUCCUACCGAGUGGGCCCAGAGAUACCUCUCCAUUUACACGGAGUGACAAAUCCCAGUCUCGAUUCGUGCCAACCCAACAGACACUUUCGGAGAUACCUGUAAUGCACCUUUAUAGCCACCCAGUUACGUUGUGACGUUUGGUACACCCAAAGCAUUCCUACGGUAUCCGGGAGUUGCACAAUCUCAUGAUCUAAGGAAAAGAUACUUGACAUUAGAAAAGCUUUAGCAUACGAACUACACGAUCUCUAUGCUAGGCUUAGGAUUGGGUCUUGUCCAUCACAUUAUUCUCCUAAUGAUGUGAUCCCGUUAUCAAUGACAUCCAAUGUCCAUGGUCAGGAAACCGUAACCAUCUAUUGAUCAACGAGCCAGUCAACUAGAGGCUUACUAGGGACAUGGUGUUGUCUAUGUAUUCACACGUGUAUUACGAUUUCCGGAUAAUACAGUUAUAGCAUGAAUAAAAGACUAUUAUCAUGAACAAAGAAAUAUAAUAAUAACAUAUUUAUUAUUGCCUCUAGGGCAUAUUUCCAACAGUCUCCCACUUGCACUAGAGUCAAUAAUCCAGUUCACAUCGAUAUGUGAUUAACACUCAAGGUCACAUCCCCAUGUGACUAACACCCAAGAGUUCUGGGUUUGAUCAUGUUAUGCUUGUGAGAGAGGUUAUAGUCAACGGGUCUGAACCUUUCAGAUCCGUGUGUGCUUUACAAAUCUCUAUGUCAUCUCCUAGAUGUAGCUACCACAUUCUAUUUGGAGCUAUUCUAAAUUGUUCUCCAUUAUACGUAUCCGGUAUCUCUAUUCAGAGCUAUCCGGAUAGGUGUUAAGCUUGCAUCAUCGUAACUCUUUAUGACGAACUCUUUUACCACCUCCAUAAUCGAGAAAAUUCCUUAGUCCACUAGUUACUAAGGAUACCUUUGACCGCUGUCCUGUGAUCCAUUCUUGGAUCACUCUUGUACCCCUUGACUGACUCAUGGCAAGUCACACUUCAGGUGCGGUACACAACAUAGCAUACUGUAGAGCCUAUGUCUUAAGCAUAGGAGACGACUUUCGUCCUUUCUCUCUAUUCUUCCAUGGUCGAGCUUUAAGUCUUAACUUCGUACCUUACAACUCAGGCAAGAACUUCUUCUUUGACUGAUCCAUCUUGAACACCUUCAAGAUCAUGUCAAGGUAUGUGCUCAUUUGAGAGUACCAUUAAGCGUUUUGAUCCAUCCUCAUAGAUCUUGAUGCUCAAUGUUCAAGUAGCUUAAUCCAGGCUUUCCAUUGAAAAACACUUUCAAAUAACCCUAUAUGCUUUCCAGAAAUUCUACGUCAUUUCUGAUCCAUAAUAUGUCAACAACAUAUACUCAUCAGAAAUUCUAUAGUGCUCCCACUCACUUCUUUGGAAAUACAAGUUUCUCAUAAACUUUGUAUAAACCCAAAAUCUUUGAUCAUCUUAUCAAAGUGCACAUUCCAACUCCGAGAUGCUUACUCCAGUCCUUAGAAGGAUUGCUGGAGCUAGCAUACCUUUUAGCAUCCUUAGGAUCGACAAAACCUUUCUGAUUGUAUUACCUACAACCUUUCCUUACGAAAACUGGUAAGGAAACUCGUUUUGACAUCCAUCUGCCAGAUUUCAUAAAUGCAGCUAAUGCUAACAUGAAUCCAACGGACUUAAGCAUCGCUACGGAUGAGAAAAUCUCAUCGUAGUCAACUCCUUGAACUUGUGAAAAAACUCUUCGCCACAAGUCGAGCUUCAUAGUUGGUGACAUUACCAUCCACGUCCGUCUUCUUCUUAAAGAUCCAUUUAUCUUAAUGGCUUGCCGAUCAUUGGGCAAGUCCACCAAAGUCCAUGCUUUGUUCUGAUACAUGGAUCCUAUCUCGGAUUUCAUGGUUUCUUAACCAUUUGUCGGAAUUUGGGCCCACCAUCGCUUCUCCAUAGCUCGUAGGUUCAUUGUUGUCUAGCAACAUGACCUUCAAGACAGGAUCACCGUACCACUCCGAAGCAGUACGCGUCCUUGUCGUCCUACGAGGUUCAGUAGUGACUUGAUCCGAAACUUCAUGAUCACUAUCAUAAGCUUCUACUUCAAUUGGUGUAGGUGCCACAGGAACAACUUCCUAUGCCCUGCUACACACUAGUUGAAGUGACGGUUCAAUAACCUCAUCAAGUCUCCACCAUCCUCCCACUCAAUUCUUUCGAGAGAAACUUUUCCUCGAGAAAGGACCCGAUUCAAGAAACAAUCCAUAUUGCUUUCGGAUCUGAAUUAGGAGGUAUACCGAACUGUUUUGGGUAUCCUAUGAAGAUGUAUUUUAUCCGCUUUGGGUUCGAGCUUAUCAAUCCUGAAACUUUUUCACAUAAGCGUCGCAGCCCCAAACCUUUAAGAAACGACAACUUAGGUUUCUCUAAACCAUAAUUCAUACGGUGUCAUCUCAACGGAAUUACGUGGUGCCCUAUUUAAAGUGAAUGUGGUUGUCUCUAAUGCCUAACCCAUGAACAAUAGUGGUAAUUCGAUAAGAGACAUCAUGGUACGCACCAUAUCAAAUAGGAUGCAACUAUGAUGUUCGGACACACCAUCACACUAUGGUGUUCCAGGCGGUAUUAAUUGUAAAACAAUUUCCACAAUGUCUUAAUUGCGUGCCAAAACUCGUAACUCAGAUAUUCAUCUCUAUGAUCAUAUCAUAGACAUUUUAUCCUCUUGUCACAAUGAUCUUCUACUUCACUCUGAAAUUACUUGAACCAUUCAAUAAUUCAGACUUGUGUUUCAUCAAGAAAAUAUUCUCAACAUCUACUCGAAUCAUCUGUGAAGUAAGAACAUAACGAUAUUCACUGCAUGCCUCAGCACUCAUUGGACUGCACACAUCAAAAUGUGUUACUUCCAACAAGUUGCUAUCUUGUUCCAUCUUACUGAAAACGAGGAUUUUCAGUCAUCUUGCCCAUGUGGUAUGAUUUGCAUAUCUCAAGUGAUUCAAAAUCAAGUGAGUCCAAACGAUCCAUCUGCAUUGAGUUUCUUCAUGCGUAUACACCAAUAGACAUGGUUCGCAUGUCUCAAACUUUUCAAAAAUGAGUGAGUCCAAAGAUCCAUCAACAUGGAGCUUCUUCAUGCGUUUUAUACCGAUAUGACUUACGUGGCAGUGCCACAAGUAGGUGGUACUAUCAUUACUAUCUUAUAUCUUUUGGCAUGAAAAUGUGUAUCACUACGAUCGAGAUUCAAUAAACCACUCCUUUAGGUGCAAGACCAUUGAAGGUAUUAUUCACAUAAAUAGAGUAACCAUUAUUCUCCUUAAAUGAAUAACCGUAUUGCGAUAGACAUAAUCCAAUCAUGUCUAUGCUCAAUGCAAACACCAAAUGACAAUCAUUCAGGUUUAAUACUAAUCUUGGUGGUAGAGGGAGCGUGCGAUGUUUGAUCACAUCAAACUUGGAAACACUUCCAACUCAUAUCGUCAGCUCAUCUUUAGCUAGUCUCCGUUUAUUCCGUAGCUCUUUUAUUUCGAGUUACUAACACUUAGCAACCGAACCGGUAUCUAAUACCCUGGUGCUACUAGGAGUACUAGUAAAGUACACAUUAACAUAAUGUAUAUCCAAUAUACUUCUAUCGACCUUGCCAGCCUUCUCAUCUACCAAGUAUCUAGGGUAAUUCUGCUCCAGUGGUUGUUCCCCUUAUUACAGAAACACUUAGUCUCGGGUUUGGGUUCAACCUUGGGUUUCUUCACUAGAGCAGCAGCUGAUUUGCCGUUUCAUGAAGUAUCCCUUCUUGCCCUUGCCCUUCUUGAAACUAGUGGUUUCACCAACCAUCAACAAUUGAUGCUCCUUCUUGAUUUCUACUUUCGCGGUGUCAAACAUCACGAAUAUCUCAAGGAUCAUCAUAUCUAUCCCUGAUUUGUUAUAGUUCAUCACAAAGCUCUAGCAGCUUGGUGGUAAUGACUUUGGAGAAACAUCACUGUCAAGUGAUUGUUGCACUCAGACAAUCUGGAGCACAAACUGAACGAUUGAGCUUUUCUUCCUUAGUUUGCAGGCUAAGAAAAAUCGUCGGAGGUCUUGUACCUCUUAACGUGGGCACGAGCCUGAAAUCCCAAUUUCAGCCCUUGAAACAUCUCAUAUGUUCCGCGAUGUUUCGAAAACGUCUUUAGUGCCUCAACUCUAAACCGUUUAACUGAACUAUCACGUAGUUAUCAAAACGUGUAUGUCCGAUGUUCACAACAUCCACAAACAACGUUUGGGGUUCAGCACACUGAGCAGUGCAUUAAGGACAUAAGCUUUCUACUGUCCGCAUAAUUGCUACUAUCAACUUUCAACUAUAUUUUCUCUAGGAACAUAUCUAAACAGUGGAACUAAAGCGCGAGCUUACGACAUAAUUUGCAAAGAUCUUUUGACUAUGUUCAGGAUAAUUAAGUUCAUCUUAUGAACUCCCACUCAGAUUAGACAUCCCUCUAGUCAUCUAAGUGUUACACGAUCCGAGUCGACUAGGCCAUGUCCGAUUAACACGUGAGACGGACUAGUCAUCGCCGGUGAACAUCUUCAUGUUGAUCGUAUCUUCCAUACGACUCGUGUUCGACCUUUCGGUCUCUGUGUUCCGAGGCCAUGUCUUCACAUGCUAGGCUCGUCAAGUUAACCCUAAGUGUUUUUGCAUGUGUAAAACUUCUUACACCCGUUGUAUGUGAACGUAAGGAUCUAUCACGCCCGAUUAACACGUGGUGCUUCGAAACGACGAACUGUAGCAACGGUGCACAGUUAGGGGAGAACACUUCUUGAAAUUGUUGUAAGGGAUCAUCUUAUUUACUACCGUCGUUCUAAGUAAACAAGAUGCAUAAACAUGAUAAACAUCACAUGCAAUCAAAUAAUAGUGACAUGAUAUGGCCAAUAUCAUAUAGCUCCUUUGAUCUCCAUCUUGGGGGCUCCAUGAUCAUCUAUUACAAGAACAUGAUCAAUCUCAUACAUCACAUAUCAUUCAUCACAUUCUUCUUGGCCAUAUCACAUCACAAAGCAUACCCUGCAAAAACAAGUUAGACGUCCUCUAAUUAUUGUUUGCAUGUUUUACGUGGCUGCUAUGGGUUUCUAGCAAGAACGUUUCUUACCUACGCAAAACCACAACGUGAUAUGCCAAUUGCUAUUUACCCUUCAUAAGGACCCUUUUCAUCGAAUCUGUUCCGACUAAAGUGGGAGAGACUGGCACCCGCUAGCCACCUUAUGCACCAAGUGCAUGUCAGUCGGUGGAACCUGUCUCACGUAAGAGUACGUGUAAGGUCGGUCCGGGCCGCUUCAUCCCACAAUACCGUCGAAUCAAGAUAAGACUAGUAACGGCAAGCAUAUUGAACAAAAUCAACGCCCACAACUACUUUGUGUUCUACUUGUGCAAAGAAUCUACGCAAUAGACCUAGCUCUGAUACCACUGUUGGGGAACGUAGCAGAAAUUCAAAUUUUCCUACGUGUCACCAAGAUCUAUCUAUGGAGAGACUAGCAACGAGGGGAAGGAGAGUGCAUCUACAUACCCUUGUAGAUCGCUAAGCGGAAGCGUUCAAGUGAACGGGGUUGAUGGAGUCGUACUCGUCGUGAUUCAAAUCACCGAUGAUCCUAGUGCCGAACGGACGGCACCUCCGCGUUCAACACACGUGCAGCCCGGUGACGUCUCCCACGCCUUGAUCCAGCAAGGAGAGAGGGAGAGGUUGAGGAAGACUCCAUCCAGCAGCAGCACAACGGCGUGGUGGUGAUGGAGGAGCGUGGCAAUCCUGUAGGGCUUUGCCAAGCACCUACGGGAGAGGAGGAGGUGUCACGGGAGGGAGGGAGGCGCCAGGGACUCAGGUAUGGAUGUCCUCCCUCCCCUCCACUAUAUAUAGGGGCAAGGGAGAGGGGGGAGGCGCAGCCUUGCCCCUUCCUCCAAGAAAGGGGUGCGGCCAAGAGGGGGGGAGGAGUCCAUCCUCCCCAAGGCACCUCGGAGGUGCCUUCCCCUUUGAGGACUCUUCCCUCUAGGGUUCCCUAGGCGCAUGGGCCUCUUGGGGCUGGUGCCAUUGGCCCAUAUAGGCCAAGGCGCACCCCCUACAGCCCAUGUGGCCCCCCGGGGCAGGUGGACCCCCCCCCCCGGUGGACCCCCGGACCCCUUUCGGCACUCCCAGUACAAUACCGAUAAAGUGCGAAACAUUUCCGGCGACCAAAACAGGACUUCCCAUAUAUAAAUCUUUACCUCCGGACCAUUCCGGAACUCCUCGUGACGUCUGGGAUCUCAUCCGGGACUCCGAACAACAUUCGGUAACCACAUACAAGCUUCCUUUAUAACCCUAGCGUCAUCGAACCUUAAGUGUGUAGACCCUACGGGUUCGGGAGACAUGCAGACAUGACCGAGAUGUUCUCCGGUCAAUAACCAACAGCAGGAUCUGGAUACCCAUGUUGGCUCCCACAUGUUCCACGAUGAUCUCAUCGGAUGAACCACGAUGUCAAGGACUCAAUCGAUCCCGUAUACAAUUCCCUUUGUCUAGCAGUAUUUUACUUGCCCGAGAUUCGAUCGUCGGUAUACCGAUACCUUGUUCAAUCUCGUUACCGGCAAGUCUCUUUACUCGUUCCGUAACACAUCAUCCCGUGAUCAACCCCUUGGUCACAUUGUGCACAUUAUGAUGAUAUCCUACCGAGUGGGCCCAGAGAUACCUCUCCGUUUACACGGAGUGACAAAUCCCAGUCUCGAUUCGUGCCAACCCAACAGACACUUUCGGAGAUACCUGUAAUGCACCUUUAUAGCCACCCAGUUACGUUGUGACGUUUGGUACACCCAAAGCAUUCCUACGGUAUCCGGGAGUUGCACAAUCUCAUGGUCUAAGGAAAAGAUACUUGACAUUAGAAAAGCUUUAGCAUACGAACUACACGAUCUCUAUGCUAGGCUUAGGAUUGGGUCUUGUCCAUCACAUCAUUCUCCUAAUGAUGUGAUCCCGUUAUCAAUGACUUCCAAUGUCCAUGGUCAGGAAACCGUAACCAUCUAUUGAUCAACGAGCCAGUCAACUAGAGGCUUACUAGGGACAUGGUGUUGUCUAUGUAUUCACACGUGUAUUACGAUUUCCGGAUAAUACAGUUAUAGCAUGAAUAAAAGACUAUUAUCAUGAACAAAGAAAUAUAAUAAUAACAUAUUUAUUAUUGCCUCUAGGGCAUAUUUCCAACAAAAACACGGUGGGAGAUAGGCUCGUAGCAGCGGUAGCCCUUGGUGUUGGCGGGGUAGCCCAAGAAAAUGCACGCGAGAGAGCGGGGGCGAGUUUAUGGGGGGUGGUAGAGGCGAUGCUAGGGUAGCAAAGGCACCCGAAUAUGCGAAGGUCGUCAUAGGAUGGCGGGCUUCCGAAAAGCAAGUGGUGCGGUGCAAAGUUGCCGCGAACGUGGCAACACCGGAUGUUGAUGAGACGUGAUGCGGUGGAGAAGGCGUCGGGCCAGAAGCGGGGUGGCACAUUAGCAUGAAAUAAUAGGGUGCGGACGCAAUCAUUAAGAGUGCGGAGAACCCGUUCGGCCCGCCCAUUUUGUUGCGAGGUGUAGGGGCAAGUGAGAUGAAAUAUCGUGCCAUGUGUGGCGAGGAGAUUACGAACCGCGAGGUUGUCGAAUUCCUUCUCGUUGUCGGUUUGGAUGGCAUGGAUGGGACGACCAAACUGGGUGGUGACAUAAGAGUAAAAUGCGGUGAGAAUAGAUAUGACGUCGGAUUUCCGCCGCAACGGGAAGGUCCACACAUAGUGCGAAAAAUCAUCCAAAAUGACGAGGUAGUAAAUAUAGCCGGUAUUACUCGCAACUGGAGGUCCACACAUCACUAUGAAGUAGUUCAAAUGGAUACGAUGCAACCGAAGAGGAAGUGCUAAAAGGAAGCCGAGUAUGUUUGCCUAGACGACACGCAUGACAAGUGUGACCGUCGGUCUUAUUGCAAGUGAAAGAAAAACUCCGAAGAAUAUGACAAAGGGUGGUGUCAUUAGGAUGUCCCAAGCGAGCAUGCCAAAGAUCCACACCGACGGAGAGGGCGACCGGAGAGGUGUUGGUUGAGGCGGGUGGGUGGACCGGGUAGAGCUCGUCGGGACUAUCACAUCGGUGGAGCACCAUCCGGGUACGGGCGUCCUUGACAGAAAAACCACACAUGUCAAAUUCAACGGUAACAGGGUUAUCACGAGUAAGAGAACGAACGGAAACAAGAUUGGUAAUGAGUCCGGGAGACACAAGUAUGUUAGAUAAUGAUAUCGGUGUGGAUGUGGAAGGGAAAUAAGCAUGGCCUAUGUGUGUAAUGGGAAGUGAUGAUCCAUCACCGACGGUAAUGCGAUUGGAAGUAUGGACGGGAUAAGAGGUAUGGAGAGUACCGGGGUUGGCAGCCAUAUGGGAGGUGGCGCCGCGGUCCAUGUACCAAUCGCCGCCACCCGUGUAGUUGGCCGGCGAGGGGGCGGAUUGCAGUGCCGCAAGGAGGGCCGGAUCCCAUGGAGCCGGCGGGAGCGGCGGCACCGAUGGUGUAGCAGCGUAGGGAGCGGGCGGCGGCGCGGCGUACGGCGCCGCGACAUAAGGCGUCGGCGGCGGCGCGGCGUAUGGCGCUACAGCGUAGGCUGCUGAGGAGGGCGCGGCGUACGGCGCUGGCAGAAGCGCUGCGUACGGCGCCUGCGCCGCGUACAUCGUCUGGGGCGCGGCGAUCAGCGCCUGAUGCGUCGUGGGGCGCGGGCCCAAGAGGCCAGGAGCGGGCGGGUGGGGCACUGGCAUGCUGUACGCAUGCACCAGGCCCGUCCACGGGUUCUGGGCCGUGGCCCAAGGCGCGGUGGCCUGCUGCUGGCGAGGCUGGCCACCCUGGCCAUUGCCUUUGCGACCGUGACGCCCACCACGCGGCGGCGAUCAGAGGAGGCAGGCGGGGGUGGCGGCCCCUGGAAGGGACCCACGGGCGGCGGCGGGUACUGCCCGUAGGAGGCCGCCGGAGGAGGGAACCGCGGCGCGGCGGGCGCCUGUGGAGCUGGCGGGGGCGGGCCGCCGCGGGAGGUCCCGGCGGCGAGGGCGACGUGGGUAGCCCUGGUUUUCGCCAUCUUCAUGCGACGUUCCUCCAGACGCAAAUAAGCCAUGACCUUGGGGAAGGUUGGCUCCGGGAUCAAGGUGAGGUUCGAGGCAGCAUUGCCGAACUCCUCAUUGAGCCCGGCCGUCAGGGUGCUGAGGAGGAGAUCGUCGGAGAUGAUUUCGCCAAGGUCACGGAGCUCAUUUGCAAGUUUCUUGAGACGCAUGCAAUAAUCAUCGAUAGAUGAAUCAAGUUGAUGAGACCCAAAAAAUUCUUGCUGAAGAAAAACCCGGCGUUGGAGUUGGUUGUCGGUGAAGAGCCCCUCGGCCUCUUCAACGCCUCGCCAUCCCCACCUCCGGCGAACUUGGCUGUUUUCUUGCCUCUCUUCCUUUGAAGUUCACAGUAUUGAUCCUUGAACUUAGGGCAAUUGUUGAUGAGCGUCCAACAAUGCGUAAGAGUGAAUGGCUUGUCAUUGUGCCGGGCCUUGAAUGCCUCCAAAGAUUGAAAUGCCUACACCACAUGAUCAACAACAAGUGAACAUGCAAACAUAUACACGGCCGAAGUAUCAUGGUUGUAGCAAGGAAAGGGCUAGAAAGAGAAGAGCAUACCAUGUCCCCAACGCCGAGACCACUCACGGGCCGUGCUUCAACGCUCUCAAAUGCGGCACAAUACUUGUUGCACUCUUGUUGGAUGAACAACCAUCUUUUUUGAAUCGAACCGAUGCCACGGUUGCUUGCAAUUUGGUAGGGCUCAAACAUCUUCCUUUCAUGAAAUGUUUUGUGAACUCUCGUCCAAAAAACAAUGCCCUUUUGUUGCGCGCCGGUCCUUGGAUCUUGGCUAAUCUCCAUCCAACAUUGACAAAUCAACUUGUCCUCGUCUUGUGUAUAUGAACCGGUGCGAAUGCUCUUCCGCUUUUUUUGUGCUUCCGCUCUUUGGGUGAGCUCGUCUAUGAACAAUGGAGCGCCACUAAUAUCAACAUCAUUGGCUUCAUCUUCAUCUUCACCUUCGACAUAGAUGUCGUCGUCUUCAUGCCACGAAUCACCAUGGUCGUAGUCAGCACGGUCGUCGGCCUCCUCAUUGGGCACGUACUGGGUGCGGCCAUCCUGACUUUGGGUCUUCUCGGGGUCGUAGGCACGGCCAUGCCCACCCUGGAAGAUCACGUCCUCCAUGUACUGGUUGUAGAAGGGGUCGUCCACCGUCGGCGUUGAGGAUGGCAUUCCGUCAAACAACACGCUGUGACGCCCCCGAUUCAAUCGUACACUAAUCAUGCACGCAAAUGUGUACGAUCAAGAUCAGGGACUCACGGGAAGAUAUCACAACACAACUCUAAAACAUAAAUAAGUCAUACAAGCAUCAUAAUACAAGCCAGGGGCCUCGAGGGCUCGAAUACAAGUGCUCGAUCAUAGACGAGUCAGCGGAAGCAACAAUAUCUGAGUACAGACAUAAGUUAAACAAGUUGCCAUAAGAUGGCUAGCAAAAACUGGGAUACAGAUCGAAAGAGGCGCAGGCCUCCUGCCUGGGAUCCUCCUAACUACUCCUGGUCGUCGUCAGCGGACUGCACAUAGUAGUAGGCACCUCCGGUGUAGUAGGGGUCGUCGUCGACGGUGGCGUCUGGCUCCUGGACUCCAGCAUCUGGUUGCGACAACCAGAAAGAAAGGAAAAGGGAAAAAGUGGGGAAAAAGCAACCGUGAGUACUCAUCCAAAGUACUCGCAAGCAAGGAACUACACUACAUAUGCAUGGGUAUAUGUGUAAGGAGGCCAUAUCGGUGGACUGAACUGCAGAAUGCCAGAAUAAGAGGGGGAUAGCUAGUCCUAUCGAAGACUACGCUUCUGGCAGCCUCCGUCUCGCAGCAUGUAGAAGAGAGUAGAUUGAAGUCCUCCAAGUAGCAUCUUCAAGUAGUAACUCCAAGUAGCAUCUCCAAGUAUCAUCUCCAAGUAGCAUCUCCAAGCAGCAUCGCAUAGCAUAAACCUACCCGGCGAUCCUCUCCUCGUCGCCCUGUAGAAAAGCGAUCACCGGGUUGUCUGUGGAACUUGGAAGGGUGUGUUUUAUUAAGUAUCCGGUUCUAGUUGUCAUAAGGUCAAGGUACAACUCCAAGUCGUCCUGUUACCGAAGAUCACGGCUAUUCGAAUAGAUUAACUUCCCUGCAGGGGUGCACCAACUUACCCAGCACGCUUGAUCCCAUUUGGCCGGACACACUUUCCUGGGUCAUGCCCGGCCGCGGAAGAUCAACACGUCGCAGCCCCACCUAGGCUCAACAGAGAGGCCAGCAUGCCGGUCUAAACCUAAGCGCACAGGGGUCUGGGCCCAUCGCCCAUAGCACACCUGCACGUUGCGUACGCGGCCGAAAGCAGACCUAGCCUAGUGGCAUUCCAGUCCAAUUCGGCGCCGCCGCUCCGUCGCUGACGUCUGAAGUGCUUCGGCUGAUACCACGACGUCGGGAUACCCAUAACUACUCCCACGUAGAUGGUUAGUGCGUAUAGGCUCGUAGCCAACUCAGAUCAAAUACCAAGAUCUCGUUAAGCGUGUUAAGUAUCCGCGAACGCCGAACAGGGCCAGGCCCACCUCUCUCCUAGGCGGUCUCAACCUGCCCUGUCGCUCCGCCUCAAAGAUCCACUCACGGGUGCUCCACCAGCCGACCCGACUUUAGUCUCCACCUGUAUCAUGUAUAAAGUAUAGUAUAUACCCGUGAUCACCUCCCGAGUGAUCACGGCCCGAUAGUAUAGCACGGCAGACGGACAAGAAUGUAGGGCCACAGAUGGAAUACUAGCACCCUAUACUAAGCAUAUAGGAUUGCAGGUAAAGGUAACAACAGUGGUAACAAGGACAGGCUAUGCAUCAGGAUAGGUAUAACAGAAAGCAGUAACAUGCUACACUACUCUAAUGCAAGUAGUAUAGAGAAGAGUAGGCGAUACCUGGUGAUCAAGGGGGGGGGGCUUGCCUGGUUGCUCUGGCAAGAGAGAGUGGUCGUCAACCUCGUAGUCGUACGGGGCAGCAGCAGCGGCGUCGGUCUCGUAGUCUACCGAAGAGAAGAGGGGGGGAAGAAACAGUAAAUACAUAGCAAGCAAGUGCAUAACGAUGCAUGACAUGACAAGUAUCGAUGCUAGGUGUGCCCUAACAUGGUAUGAGGUGGUACCGGUUAAGGGGGAAACAUCCGGGAAAAUAUCCCCGGUGUUUCGUGUUUUCGGGCAGAGGAGCCGGAGGGGGAAAGUUGCGAGUUUGAUAGGUUAGGGGUGUGAGGCGGACGAACGGACUGCGUAUCCGGAUUUGUCUCGUCGUUCUGAGCAACUUUCAUGUUGAAAAUAUUUUAAUCCGAGUUAUGGAUUAAAAGAUAUGAUUUUCUAAAGAUCUUAUUAAUUUCUGGAAUUUAAUUAAUUAAUUAUUUAAUUUGAAAAAUGAAUUUAUGACGUCAGCAUGAUGUCAUGCUGACGUCAGCAGUCAAUAGGGUUGACUUGGUCAACCUGACAGGUGGGUCCCGUUCGUCAUACUCUGUUAGUUAAUUAACAAUAGUUAAUUAGGUUAAUUAGCCAUUAGGUUAAUUAAUCAGGAUUAAUUAAAUUAAGUAUUUACUUAAUUAAUUAAUUAAUAUUUUAAUUAUCAUUUAUUUUUAUUUUUAACGUUCUGGGGGGGGGGCUGCGGUCAGUGGCAUGGCUGGUCCAGUCAGCAAGGCUGACCGGGUCAACAGGCCGGCCAGGCCCCUAGGGCCCACGGGUCAGUGACCCAGGGGUGGCCCCAGGUCGGCCACGUCGGCGGCCGGCGUUGGGGAGCUCCGGGGAGCGUUCCCGCGGCGGAGGGGCGCCGGACCUCGCCGGGAUUCGCCGUCCGGCGGCCAAAAUGGCCGCGGGCGGGUGCGUUCGAACGUGGAGAGGAUGCCGCGUCCAACGGUGGCAGAGGCACGGCCGGACUUGGCCGGAAACGACGCCGGCGAGCGGUGGAGGCGGCGGUGGGAUUCGGGACCGCGUCGGGAUCGCGCUACGGGGCUAACGGGAAGACCAGGGGGGGCUGCGCGACGCGCUGAGCACAGGGGCUCGGCCCCGUGACCAUUUGGUCACCGGAGGGGCGCCGGCGACGAGAUCCACGAGGGGGGCGCUCGGGUNNNNNNNNNNNNNNNNNNNNNNNNNNNNNNNNNNNNNNNNNNNNNNNNNNNNNNNNNNNNNNNNNNNNNNNNNNNNNNNNNNNNNNNNNNNNNNNNNNNNNNNNNNNNNNNNNNNNNNNNNNNNNNNNNNNNNNNNNNNNNNNNNNNNNNNNNNNNNNNNNNNNNNNNNNNNNNNNNNNNNNNNNNNNNNNNNNNNNNNNNNNNNNNNNNNNNNNNNNNNNNNNNNNNNNNNNNNNNNNNNNNNNNNNNNNNNNNNNNNNNNNNNNNNNNNNNNNNNNNNNNNNNNNNNNNNNNNNNNNNNNNNNNNNNNNNNNNNNNNNNNNNNNNNNNNNNNNNNNNNNNNNNNNNNNNNNNNNNNNNNNNNNNNNNNNNNNNNNNNNNNNNNNNNNNNNNNNNNNNNNNNNNNNNNNNNNNNNNNNNNNNNNNNNNNNNNNNNNNNNNNNNNNNNNNNNNNNNNNNNNNNNNNNNNNNNNNNNNNNNNNNNNNNNNNNNNNNNNNNNNNNNNNNNNNNNNNNNNNNNNNNNNNNNNNNNNNNNNNNNNNNNNNNNNNNNNNNNNNNNNNNNNNNNNNNNNNNNNNNNNNNNNNNNNNNNNNNNNNNNNNNNNNNNNNNNNNNNNNNNNNNNNNNNNNNNNNNNNNNNNNNNNNNNNNNNNNNNNNNNNNNNNNNNNNNNNNNNNNNNNNNNNNNNNNNNNNNNNNNNNNNNNNNNNNNNNNNNNNNNNNNNNNNNNNNNNNNNNNNNNNNNNNNNNNNNNNNNNNNNNNNNNNNNNNNNNNNNNNNNNNNNNNNNNNNNNNNNNNNNNNNNNNNNNNNNNNNNNNNNNNNNNNNNNNNNNNNNNNNNNNNNNNNNNNNNNNNNNNNNNNNNNNNNNNNNNNNNNNNNNNNNNNNNNNNNNNNNNNNNNNNNNNNNNNNNNNNAGGUGGGCUUGGCCCAGUUUGGCCAGGGGGGGGGGGUUCCUCUCCUUUGUUUUAUUUUUCUUUUCUUAAUUUAUUUUCUCUUCUGUUUUAUUUCAUUUUAAAAUAUUUAGGCACUUUAUAAAAAUGUGUGCACCCCACCAUAAUUAACCUUGUAAUUUUUGACAACCCCCAAACAUUUUAGUUUGAUUUUUUUGAAAAACUUUUAUUGCCAUCAUAAUUUUGAAUUGAAUUUCGAAUCCGUUUUGAUUUAACCCGAGAUUAACUACAGUGACAGAGGUGACGUGGCAUCAUUAGUGGGGAUUACUGUAGCUUAAUUACCCGGGCGUUACACACGCGGGGGGCCGGCAUGGUGCCCGUGAACGGUGCACGCGCAUGCUUUCUUUGCAUCUCGACGGACGGCCGCCCGCCGCUGCUGGACCCAGGCGUGACGUUGAGGUCGAUGACGGCCGCGGGGCGUGGUGUGGACGGCGCGAACAAGCCCACGUCCGACGAUGCCGAGAAACGGGUCUGGCCGUCGUGCCUGGGCGGAGGAAAGCCGGGCGACAUGGGCGCAGCGCACGACGUCGGCGACUGGCAGUGCGUAGGCCGGGCGACCGACGAGCCUGUGCUCCCUGGGCCGACAGCCGCUGCAUGGAACCCCGCCGGACGGCCCAUGCCAAGCAUGAGGAUGGCGUGCGCUUUGUUGACGAGGUCCUCCUUCUCGUCGGCAGCGGCCUUGCGCCGCGCGGCCUCCAGCUCCUCGCGCUGGGCGGCGAACUUGGCCGCGGCGGCAUUGAUCUUGACGGCCGCUCUCCGUUCCCUCCUCUUCGCUGAUUCCGCGUCCAACUUGGCGAUCUCCUUCGGCGUGCACUCCGACCGCGGCUUUCUUGGCGCCUUCUUGUUCACCUUUGCGGUCGGGUCGACGGCCAGACCGCCGGAACUCGGCGGGGCGUCGGCCAUGGACGGGGGAGAGAGGGGGUGGCAGGAGGGACGUGGGAGGGUUUGGGGAAAAUGGCGCCAAAUGGACUUGGGGGGGGGUUGGUUUCUCCCACCGACAGGCGGGCCAGGGGAGGACAAGCGCGCGCGUCCCGCCCGUCCGCGCGCUGUCCGUUUCACCCCAAAACCGGCGCAAAUUUGGGUCGGGGAUGGGUCGAAAGCGGACACAAAGCGGACAAAAGUCCGUUUACGCCCGCGCGCUGGGCCGUCUCGUUUGUUCCUUUUACCCCAAACGGACGGGGGCGGACAGGAUAGGAUCGAGCGGUGGAGUUGGCCUGACCUCCGUGCCAAGGCUACCACGGCGCUGUCCGUGACAUGCAGCCACCUUCCGUGUCUCCGCAGCCUAGGACUAGCCCUGUUCUACUCUGUAAAAUGAAUGCUUAAUUAACAUGCAACGCAAAUGACAUGCUGCUGUCAAGUCCUCGACACGAAUCUUCAAAACACAGGACGCGCUGGAUAACCGGGUGUCAGGGCACCCGGGUGCUGUGACGCCUUUCCGAACAGGAGAGGAGCUCCUCCCUUCAGCAUCUUCGAACCAAACCGGGCCAUUCCGCGUAGUUGUUUCUCAACUGCAGAGAAUUCGGCUGGUGAUUCUGCUGACCCUACAAAGGGCAAUGGCACAAGCAUUGAUCAGAGGCUUGCCAUGCUGGUGAGCAUCGAGGACUGCGUCAAGCGGCACGGGCUCAGGAUGCUCUUAAGGCCUUGUUCAUUUAAUCCUCCUCCCAAGGGGAUUGGAGUGGAUUGGAGAGGAUUUUGCCUUGUAGGGAUCUAAUCCCUCUUAAACCCUGCCAUUCCCCUUCAAAAACCACCUCAAUCGAACAAGGCCUAAGGGAUCUGCACUUUAGGGGGAAAGAUGCCCCCGUCUGCUACGCCUGGUGCGAUCCUUCCCCGCAAAUGCAUGUAACCCAGGGGAUCUCGAUGGCGAUCAACGUCAACAAGAUGAUCGAAGUGGGCUGCCAAGUCAAAAUUCUGAUGGCGGAUUGGUUAGCUCGGAUGGAUCAUCACAUCGGUGGCAAGGUCGGUGGCGAUCUGAGUAAGGUACGUGAUGUUGGCCUGUACAACAUUGAGAUGUGGAGAGCGGCCGGCAUGGAUCUCGACAGGGUCGAGCUCGUGUGGCUGUCGGAGCAAAUAAGCCGCCACGUGGACGAGUUCUGGCCGCUUGUCAUGGAUGUUGGCAGAAAAAGCGACACGAAAAGAAUAAAAAAGUCGCUCUGCGUUCAUCGCACGGAUGAUACGAGGGGCCAUGGGAGCUUAGAUCCCUACUUGUUUAGGGAUUUCACUCCUGCCGAGAUAUUCCAUCCUUGCUUGCAGUGUGCCGGCAUAGUGCUGUUUCACCAUCAGGCAGACAUAUGGCUGCUCGACGCAGAUCAGCGUGUUGCCCACAUGUUAGCCAGACGAUACUGCAACCGCCUGCAGAUGAAAGAUGGACCGGUUGCUCUAUUCCACAACGUGCCGCCUAAUUUGCUCGAGUACCCGGAACAUGAGGCGUGGAAUGAUCCCAGAUGGGCCAUCUUCAUGGAGGACGAUGAGGAAAACGUCGGCUGCAAAAUAAAUAAAGCCUUCUGCCCUCCAAAGGUCGCAAAAGGCAACCCUUGCUUCGAGUACAUAAGAUGUAUAAUUUUCCCUUGGUUUGGAAAAUUCGAGGUGGUUCGGAACGAAGGGAAUUGUGGUGCGACGUUUUUUAGCAUGGAGGAGCUUACUGUUGCCUAUGAAAGUGGCAUUCUGCAUCCCGCCGACGUGAAAGAUGCGCUUGAGAAGGCAAUAAACAUGAUGUUGCGGCACAUCAAUGAUCGCCUCAGAAGCAACACCGGAGGCAAAGAACUAGUGGAAGCAAUGGAGCAGCGAUUCAGCAUACCGUGGUGACACUACGUUCUUUAGCAUGUUUUUUUAUUUUAUUUUUUGCUUGCACAAACAAUUAAUCAGGGCAAAACAAAGUCGAAAAAAUGAAUAAGAAGUUGGUUAAAGAUAAGGGAGGCGGCAAGCAGGCUAAGCGUCUAAAGUCUUAAGUCGCAGAUAUUCAUGUGAGCGCAUGCGACAUGUAUAGCACAAGGCUGCAAACCGAAGAGGAAACACUACAGCAAUUCUGAUUGAUGAAAUGACAAACUGAAGAGGAAAAACAUUGGUGGUCAUAUGCAUUAAACUGUUGGUGACAAAAUGCAUGUUUUCUGCUAUGUUGUUUUGCACAAUAAACUUGCAGCAACAACAACAACAAAGCCUUUAGUCCCAAACAAGUUGGGGUAGGCUAGAGGUGAAACCCAUAAGAUCUCGCAACCAACUCAUGGCUCUGGCACAUGGAUAGCAAGCUUUCACGCACCCCAGUCCAUAGCUAGCUCUUUGUCGAUACUCCAAUCCUUCAGGUCUCUCUUUGCACAAUAAACUUGCAGCAAAGAUUUAAAAAAUGAACAUCAUGGUGUAAGAAUUUAUUAGGCAAGACUAAAAGAGACAAUAAAAACAAGUCUUGAAUGAAAAAAGAGACAAGACUAAAGCGGAAAAAAAAGACUUCAUUUCAUGGUUCUGCAUGAACUGACUGCUCACUGAAAACUCUGAAUCUCAAACAUGUUAAAACCGAUUUCGCUCAUAAAGAGAAAGGGCUGUGAGAUCGACUAAAACAAUGGACGGAACUAACAAACUGCAUAAAUUGAACAUUUCCGUUUUCUUGAACCUAUACAAAUACUAAGAGUGGGAUUUAGUGUGCUGGAGUGUAGCCACUACUUUUGCGUCAAAGAUUAAGACGAUAGUAGUGCCUGUNNNNNNNNNNNNNNNNNNNNNNNNNNNNNNNNNNNNNNNNNNNNNNNNNNNNNNNNNNNNNNNNNNNNNNNNNNNNNNNNNNNNNNNNNNNNNNNNNNNNNNNNNNNNNNNNNNNNNNNNNNNNNNNNNNNNNNNNNNNNNNNNNNNNNNNNNNNNNNNNNNNNNNNNNNNNNNNNNNNNNNNNNNNNNNNNNNNNNNNNNNNNNNNNNNNNNNNNNNNNNNNNNNNNNNNNNNNNNNNNNNNNNNNNNNNNNNNNNNNNNNNNNNNNNNNNNNNNNNNNNNNNNNNNNNNNNNNNNNNNNNNNNNNNNNNNNNNNNNNNNNNNNNNNNNNNNNNNNNNNNNNNNNNNCCAGUGUAAUAUAUCCAGAAAAGGGGUAAAAUGCAGCAAUAAAACUAAAGAGUUCAGAUCAAAAGGUGCGGACCAUGCUACCUAGUUUGUUUUGAAUCAACAGACAUACCAUUCGCUAGGUGGUCAACUGCAUGGUAAAACUUUACCCCUUCGCUCAGUAAGCCCUUUUUUUCGUCAAUUGCAUGGUAUGUCUGUUUAGACUAAAGACAAAGAAAUCAUUAUGAGACAAAGUUCUUUGUCUUCAGUCUUUGUAUACCAUGCAAUUGAACCACCAUGCUUAGACUAAAGACAAAGAAAGAAACUAAAGAAAAAGACUGAUAAAAGGAAAAAUGAUGAGGAAGUAGUAAAAUGAAGAAUGAGGAAUGAUAAAACUUAAGAAGCCUACUGACUGACAACAAAAAAACUGAAGAAUGACUCGAUACACACCGUACUGAACUGAACACUCAACAAAUAAUAAAAUGAUAAACAAUAUGUUCUAAAGAUUGAUGAAAUAUACACCGUGAGACUAGAGAUAAUACUGAAUUAAAUAUAAUACUGAAUUCUGCCAGUGUCAAGUUCAGUAAACACCACAGCGUUCCAUCAGUCGCUCCGCCUGAAGGCUUGGCGACCUGAAACCAAUGCACUCACGGUCACAAGUUGACUGCGUUGUUCUACCUUCUACGCCGAGAGACCUUCUGCUGUGUGUAAAUUCAUUACUGUGGUGACUAGCUGACUGCUGCUUUUACAGGAAAGCAUCAGCCUCAGAUGAUGAAGCUCUAUUGUAUGAGAUUAUUUGGACGACAAGGAAUGAUUUCAUUUUCAAUGGCAUACGCCCCAACCCCAGUGUAUACAAUUGCAGAAGAAAAUUCAAGGAGCCUGGAUGGCUUGUUUCAUAGAGCUACAGAAAGAAGCCUGGAUGGCUUGUUUCAUGGCUUGCGUCAAGGCCUUUCAUUAGAUCAUUGGAAGUCACUACCCCACUUCCUUGAGCCUCUUCGUUUCAAUUUGCAUAGGCAGCUUUAUCUUCUUGUAAUUCAUAAGCAAAAAAGUUAUAUAAAUACACGCAGUACGAAUUAUCCUACUGUUUUCCGUAAGAAAAAGGAGAGAUGGCUGCAAAAAACAGCGGGCGGCAGCGCUAGAGCGAACAAACGAAGAGGACAAAGGGGCUGAGCGCAGAGGAGGGGUAAACAGAGGGAGAAGCUCGACGAACCUGUCUCGCGGCCGGCGACGGGCGACGACCGGUGGUUCCGCCCCCGCGGACCACCACUCGCUCAUGGCGCGCCUGAUGGGAGAGCCCCGCUGGCCCCCUCUCCAUCUCCUUCCUCCCGCUGCUUGCCUCCCCCUUCCCCCUGCUGCUCGUCGGCAACUCCCCUUCCCCCACCGCCUCCCCCUCUCCUCCCGCUGCGCUGGCUCACCGACGAACUGACAUGACAUGGGCCUCAUGUAAAACCGGAUCGGGCUCGAAACAACGACCCGAAAAGCCCACCUGCACCUAUGCAAACGUGCGAACCAGAGACAGACAAACCACGCGCCGGAGCACUGAGAUUCGUGAGAGAGAUUGAACGGGUCAGAAUUUGACUUACAGCGAAAUGAAAACCAGUCGACUAAUUUCUUAGUAAAAGUGUUAACUGUCGUUGUUGUACUAAAUCAACGACAGUUAAUAUGAUAAUAUGGAUCGGAGGGACUGGUGAAUACAGAGACCACGUUACCUGAAAAACAAGCUACAUCGUUAGACAAUGGUUCUCACUUUCAGUUAUUUCAGUAGGUGCUGACAUAUUUCACUUUUGAUCAGCAUGUUCCAGUAUUUUGUAGUACAUUCAAAUAAAUUUCAAAGUUUUGUAAAAAAAAGCUUAAGUUUUGCACCCGCAAAAAAAAUGCUUAAGUUCUGGGUUUGAUUUCAAUGAAUUUUAAAUGAAAUUUUAUGUAGACUGAAACGCAAUCGAAAAUUUCAGAAACGUGUGGCCGAAAUAUUUCCAAAAACGAAACUGAAACCAAUUGCCACAUGAGAGUAUCAUGUGGAAAUCAAGUCGCAAUGAAAACUUGAUGCAAAUAAAGUUAUAAAAAGUUCUCCAAACAAUAUUGUAUGCUAUAAAAAGGUGGUGUUAUAUAAGCAUGUGAAAUUUGAAGUUCAUAUCAUGAUAUUCAUAUUCAUUGCAAAGGUAAUAAAAAAAUCAUCCAUGAAUAGCAAAAAAGUUCUCCAAGGCGGUCCGAACAUAGAGUGUGGCCAGGCCGGCCCUACCGCAGCGGCCUACGCAAACCUGGAUAGGGUUUGGAGGAAAGCACGACUCUCAGACCGACGCCACCACAAACACCGAAAAGCACGGCGCCACCACAAAGACCGACGCCCUGGAUAGGGUUUGGAGGAAAGCACGGCGGGAAAGGGGAGCGCAACGCCGCAAAGGCAUGCACCAACACCAACCAGGGCAGCCCCCUGAACUCGCAUGCCGUCAGACGCCAUCCACCACCACAGACCAGAUCCACAACGACCUCCGCCCAACCGACCCGACCACGUCGGGUCACACCUGCAAGCCGACCCCAUGAACCUCAUUGACUCCCGAGAGUAGCAGGCCGCCCCACCACUGCCUAGAGGACCUCGAGCAGCGCAUCCGCCCUUGCAUGAGCACACAAGUCGUCACCUUUUGCGCGCCACCGCCUGCAUCAGACGUGCCCGAGCCUUGCCGGCGAGGAGCCCUGCACCGCUCGCCACCAUCGGAUAUGGGUCGAGCCCAGAUCAGGCCAUCGCCACGGAUGUGAGGCCACAUUGUGAAGCCCCCCCACCGUCGCCAACCCCCGCCACCGCGCCCCUCGCCGGCGCCACGCCACUGCUCGGCCGCCCGUGUGUGAGGGCAUCUCCAGCCGUUGGCCUCCCAGGGGGCGUCUAAAAGCGCCGCCUGGGGUGAGCCGGCGCAAAAAAUGGCCCUGGGGGCGAGUCGAUCCCCAGCCGUCGGCCCCCAGGGCUGCCCACACGCGCGUAUUAAAAAAAGGACUGUUCGGCGAAGUUAUGAUAAAAACUAGUUAAAUUUCGGCCAGACAUGGCAAAUUUCGGUGAAAUUCGCGCAUUUUCAUUACAUUAACCUAAUCUAAAAAAGAAAAGGGCUGAAGUCGUCGCCGCCGUCGUCGUCGGCCUUCUCCUCCUUGACGCGGGCGCCCCUGCUGGACCCCUGCCCGGCGUCACCAUGGCGGACUGGCGGUGGCGCGUCGUCGUCGUCGUCGCUGUCGCAUAAGACGACGACCCCGUCUUCAACGCGGCCGUGUCGGCGCUCCUCGAAGCGGCGCAGGGCGGCGCACUGGCGCUCCUUCUCCUUAUCCCGGCGCGCCUUCUCCAUCGCAAUGGAGUCCUGGCGCGCCCAUUCCAGGGCCACGUCGUCGUCGUCGAACUCCGCCUCCACCGGCGGCAGCCCCGGCUCGUCUUCACCGACGCCAGCCCCGGCUCCAUCUUCGGCUUGACGAAGCGCGGAGGAGCCGACGGGGAGGGGGCGCGCCGGCUGCCCUCGUUGAUGACGAUGCCGACGCUGCGAGUGCGCCGACCGAUUGGCGUCUCCGCCGCAGGCUCGACCUUGACGCCGAGAAGCGCCGGAGAACCGGAGGAGUGGGAAGAUGAGCGAGAGGAGGAAGACGAGGAGGAGGCGAACCUCCUUGGUGCCCAUGCGCGUCGGUGUUGCGACGGGGCGGCCCCCGUCGCAGGAUAGGUCAACGGCGGGUUGUUGCCGCCGUCGAGGUGCGUCAGCACGCCCUCCAGCGUGCGGCCCGGGACGCCCCACCACAGGUGGCGCCCCACGCUAUUCUUCACGCCGCCGACCACCGGCGCAUCGUUGGUGGAGGCCAGGCGCUGCUGCUGGCAGCGCUGGAAGUACGCCUCCCAAGCCGCGUGAUUGCCGCUGGCGUACUGGGGGAGGGAGCGCUCGUCGUCGGUCAGGGAGGCGCGCGCGACCUCGACCUCCUCGGCGAAGUAAGUGGGCUUCGCCACGGCGUCGGGUAACGGGGGAACAGGCACUCCCCCGUCGCUGAGCCGCCACCCCGUCGGCCCGGCGCGCAUGUCCGGCGGCGCCGGGAUGUUCGCCUGGAACAGGAGCCAGGACUCCUGUUCGUGGAGCGAACGCCGACUGAAGCCGUUCGCCGCCGCCUCGUCUCCGGGGAAGCGCUCUGCCAUGGCGACGGGCUCGGCGCUGGUAGAGAGGGAGAGAGAGGGGCUGCCGGUGGCGCUCGAGAAAGGAAGACGGAGACGGAGAGAGAGGGGCUGGGCGGCGGCGAGGGGCGAGUCUGGUGUGGGCACCGGCGAGUACCGCCGGCUUUUAUAGCCGCUCCGCGCCAUGUGUACGCGUGCGAGGGAGGGGAGGCGUCGGCGCGCCGUCCCGAGACGCGCCGCCCGUGAGGAAUCAAUGGCAAGGAUGACCGGCGGCAGCCUUGCCAUUGAUUCCCCGCAGGAACCGAGGUAGUUGGGGGGAAGACGAGCCGCCGUGUCCCUGACGUGGCUGGCCCGCGGCUUUUUCGCGUCAAAACAGUUUGCCCCGGCGCCCCCGGGCGCCCCCCAGCGCGCCAGGUUCGGCAAUCGGGCUCCUGGAGGCACGACUGGGCCGCUUUUUCGGCGCCGGCGCAAAAAAAAACGCCUGGGGAGGCCUUCCUAGGGGCGCGGCUGAAGAUGCCCUGAGGUUCAUGGAGGAGGGGGACAUGGAAGAGAGGAGGUGCCAGGUCCAGAGGGGAAAAUGUUUGUACAAGUUCCCUUGACACGAAUCAAACUACCGAGUUUCGUUGGAAAUUUGUAUGUGUGAGUAUUUCACAUGAACUGUGUGUUAGACUGUAUUUACAUGUGUAUAUUGUAACGUUGUAUACCACCUCAUUAUAUAUAUAUAUGUGAUAGGCCAUCCCUAGAGGGUUGUGCCGGUUCCCCCCAAAGCCUAUUGUCUUACAUGGUAUCACGCUAGGUUACGUCCGCUUCCGCCUAAAAACCCUAAACCGCCGCCGCCGUCGCCGUCGCCCGACUGCUAUGACGUCCGCCGCUGCGUCCGGCUCCACCGCCACCGGUUUUCUGCCGGCCUCCCUCGCGGCACUUCUCUCGAGGCCGCUGGAUGCCGUCUCCCUUCAGGCGCCGAUCGGGACACGGAGCAUCGACUCCCUCUUCGCGCUCCCGCCGGCUGCUACUUUGCCCGGGCAGGCGCUUGUGGCCCACACCGCCGCCGCCCCGUCAACCGCGGCUGUCGCGCCCUCGGCCACUGCGCCGCUGGUGGCGGAGGACGUCGCGCUGGCAGGCUUCGCGGCGUCAACCGCGGCCAUCGCGCCCUCUGUCACCGCGCCGGCUGCCCCUCUGACUGUCUCCACGGUGGUCUCACCUCAGCUAGUCUCCUCGAUGGGAUCGCAGCCGCCGCCGCCGUUUCACUUCGGCCAUCUCAUCACCAUCAAGUUGUCGUCGGACAAUUACAUCUUCUGGCGCGCGCAGGUUCUUCCGCUUCUUGGGAGUCACUAUCUGCUUGGCUAUGUCGACGGCUCUCUCCCUUGCCCUCCUGCGCUGGUUGACAGCGUGCACGGUCCGGUCUAUAAUCCGGCUCACCGUGUCUGGACAGGGCAGGAUCAGGCGAACCUCUCCUCCAUCCAGGGGUCGCUCUCUCCGGCCGUUGCUGGGCUUGUUGUCUUCGCCAAGACGUCCCACGAGGCAUGGACUAUUCUUGAGCGCUCAUUUGCGGCACAGUCGCAGGCUCGUGUAUCUGGGCUCCGUCGCCAACUUGGGGAGUGUCAGAAGCUUGACUCCACCGCCACUGAGUUCUACAACAAAGUCAAGAGUCUCGCCGACACGCUGGCCUCCAUUGGACAGCCCCUCACCGACUCCGAGUUCAACUCGUUUAUUGUCAAUGGUCUUGAUGAGGAGUAUGACGCCCUAGUCGAGAUCAUCAAUGAGAGAGGCAACUCCACGCCCAUGCCAGCACACGAGGUCUUUUCACGCCUCCUGCUUACUGAGCAACGAGUCGAGACGCGCCGAUCCAGGGGCAACGGCGCCCUCUCGGCAAACGCCGCCACCAAGGGUGGUCGCUCCUCUGCUUCAUCCAGGGCUCCUUCGGGGCAGUCACCACCACCCGCCUCGGCCCCUCCUCCUACUGCGACGCUACCAGGGGCUGGCGGUCCACGUGUGUGCCAGCUUUGUGGUCGCGAUGGGCAUUGGGCCUCGAAGUGUCACAAGCGCUUCCAGCGGGGUUUUCUUGGUCUCGGCAAUGACGGGAAGGAUACACGCAACUUUGCUCGUCAGGUCGCCAUGGCUGAUCGUCCGCCGCCGCAGAAGCCACAGGGACACACUCAGUCCUACUCCAUUGAUCCCCACUGGUACAUGGACUCUGGGGCGACAGAGCACCUGACCAGUGAGAUGGGGAAGCUUCACACUCGUGAACCCUACCAUGGCUCCGACAAGAUCCACACCGCCAAUGGAGCAGGUAUGCACAUCUCUCAUAUUAGUCAAGCAUCACUUCUCACUAGACAUGCCAAUAGGAGUCUUCAACUUCGCAAUGUUCUUCGAGUUCCAUCUGUGACACGUAAUCUUCUUUCAGUUCCUAAACUCACUCGUGAUAAUAAUGUGCUUUGUGAAUUUCAUCCUUUUGAUCUUUUUAUUAAGGAUCGGGGCACGAGGGACAUUCUUCUUAGUGGGCGGCUCUGCCAAGGUCUCUAUCGUCUGGAGCAUCCUGGCGUCGCUCGCGUCUUCAGUGGAGUUCGGGUAUCUCCGUCACAGUGGCAUGCUCGUCUUGGUCACCCGGCCACACCUAUUGUCCGGCAUGUUUUGCGUCGUCAUGAGCUUCCUAGUGUGUCUAGUAAUAAAGAUGUAGCAGUGUGUGAUGCUUGUCAGCAGGGGAAGAGUCAUCAACUUCCUUUUUCGAAGUCCAGUCGUGAGGUGAAACAUCCUUUAGAACUUGUGUUUUUAGAUGUAUGGGGUCCUGCUCAGACUUCUGUUAGUGGUCAUAAUUACUAUAUCAGUUUUGUUGAUGCUUACAACCGCUUUACCUGGCUUUAUCUUAUCAAACGUAAAUCUGAUGUGUUUGACAUUUUUGUUCAGUUCCAAAAACAUGUUGAACGCCUUCUCAAGCACAAAAUUGUUCAUGUUCAGUCGGACUGGGGUGGCGAGUAUCGCAACCUCAACUCCUUCUUUCAGUCGCUUGGGAUCACUCACCGUUUAGCAUGUCCACAUACACAUCAGCAGAAUGGUUCAGUAGAACGUAAGCAUCGUCACAUUAUUGAAGCUGGUCUGACUCUUUUGGCCCAUGCAUCUGUUCCGUUUCGUUUUUGGAGUGAUGCUUUCACCACUGCAUGUUUUCUCAUCAAUCGUACUCCCACUCGUGUUUUGAAUAUGAAGACUCCCAUUGAAGUUCUCCUUAAUGAACAACCGGACUACACCUUUCUCAAGGUGUUUGGGUGUGCUUGCUGGCCCCAUCUCCGUCCAUAUAACAAGCGUAAGCUCGAGUUUCGUUCCAAGAAGUGUGUUUUUCUUGGUUAUAGCUCUCUUCAUAAAGGAUACAAAUGUCUUCAUGUGCCAACUAAUCGUGUCUACAUCUCUCGGGAUGUUGUGUUUGAUGAGCAUGUUUUUCCCUUUGCCAAACUCCCUGUGUCCACUACCGAGCCACCUGUCAUGCAUUCAUCCUCUGUUGCUUCUGACCAAUUUGAUGAUGUUGCAUAUUCUCCUCUAUUGUUGCCUAACCAUGGUGCAGGCACUGGUCGUGGGGCUCGUUUGGAGAUUCUGGAAGUGCCAUCUUCCUCUUCGUCGCCAUCGCCUUCAUCCUCGGCACCUUCUGUUGUGCAUGAGGAGCACAUGGCGCCCCUGCAUGGCCUCGGUUUCCGUGCUCAUGCACGGCCGAUCGACGUCCUGGCCCGGUCGCCUCUGGCUUCUGGGCUGCCUUCGCCAUCGUCGCGCCCUGCAACCCCGCCGACUGGGCCGGCCUCCUCGGUCCCCGUCUCGCCCAGGGCGUCGGGGCAGUCAUCACCAGGCCUGGCCUCGCCCGCCCCUGCCUCGCCCAGGGUGUCUGGGCCCUUCUCAUCAGGGCCGGCCUCGCCUGCUCUCGCCUCGCCAAGGCCGUCUGGGCCGGUGUCACCGGAGCUGGCCUCGCCCACUCUCGGUUCGCCCAUGGCCUCUGAGCCCCUGUCGUCGGGCCAGUCUUCGCCAUGCAGCCCGGAGUCGUCUGUCCCGAGCUCGCCUGAGGUGAUUCCUGCAUCUCCGGCGACCGUCACGUCUCCGUCACCUUCGCCUCCGCCGGCUCCUGCUGCUGCUCUACGUCCACAUACGCGCAGUCGGAGUGGCAUUUUUCAGCCUAAGCAACGUCACGAUGGCACAGUUGCUUGGUUAGCGGCGUGCAUGUCUGCUGCUCUCGCAGAUUCAUUCUCUGAGCCACGCACGUAUCAAGCUGCUAUGCGCAUUCCUCAUUGGAGAGAGGCCAUGGAGCAGGAGUAUCAAGCGCUUCUUCGCAAUCAGACAUGGACUCUUGUUCCUCCACAAUCACGGGUAAAUGUCAUUGAUUCCAAAUGGGUUUUCAAAGUGAAGAGGCAUUCUGAUGGGUCCAUUGAGCGCUAUAAGGCUCGUCUGGUUGCUCGUGGUUUUCGACAGCGUUUUGGACUUGACUAUGAAGACACCUUCAGUCCAGUGGUCAAGCCUACUACCAUCAGACUUCUUCUCUCUCUGGCUGUUACUCGAGGUUGGUUUCUUCGUCAGCUUGAUGUUCAAAAUGCUUUUCUUCAUGGUGUCUUGGCGGAGGAGGUUUACAUGCGCCAGCCUCCGGGUUUCUCUGAUCCGGAUCGCCCUGAUCAUCUCUGUCGUCUUUCCAAGGCAAUUUAUGGUCUGAAGCAGGCUCCUCGUGCUUGGCAUGCUCGUCUUGCAAUGGCUCUUCGUGCUCAUGGUUUUGCAUCAUCAACUGCUGACUCCUCAUUGUUUCUUCUUCAAAGGCCUGAGGUUACUAUGUACUUGUUGGUCUAUGUAGAUGAUAUCAUUUUGGUCAGCUUCUCUCAGUCGGCUGCUACUGCGCUUGUUCGCUCACUUGGUGCUGAUUUUGCGGUCAAGGACCUUGGGAAGCUUCAUUACUUUCUUGGUGUGGAGGUUACUUCUCGUGCUGCUGGCCUUGUUAUGACGCAGAAGAAGUACUCUCUGGAUUUGUUGCAGCGAGCUGGGAUGCUUAAGUGCAAACCGACGACCACACCCAUGUCUACCACUGAUAAGCUCAAUGCUGUUGAUGGUGUGCUUCUUUCUUCUUCUGAUGCGACAGAGUACAGGAGUAUUGUUGGUGGGCUCCAGUACUUGACGAUCACGCGACCAGACAUUUCCUAUGCUGUUAACCGAGUCUGCCAGUAUCUGCAGUCACCCCAUGACACUCAUUGGUCUGCUGUUAAGCGGAUUUUGCGCUAUAUUCGUUUCACGGUGGCUCAUGGUUUGCAUAUUCGGCCGUCUGACUCUGGUUGUCUUUCAGCAUAUUCUGAUGCAGACUGGGCUGGCAAUCCGGAUGACAGGCGAUCCACGGGGGGUUAUGCUGUCUUCUUUGGCUCUAACCUGAUUGCCUGGAGUGCUCGGAAACAGGCUACUGUCUCGCGUAGCAGUACUGAGGCUGAGUAUAAGGCUGUGGCCAAUGCCACAUCAGAGAUCAUCUGGGUACAGUCCUUGCUUCAGGAGUUAAGUAUACCCCAAUCACAGCCUCCUGUUCUUUGGUGUGAUAACAUCGGUGCUACAUACCUUUCUGCAAAUCCGGUAUUCCAUGCCCGAACGAAACACAUUGAAGUUGACUAUCACUUUGUGCGUGAACGUGUCUCUCAGAAGCAACUACAGAUCAAGUUUAUUUCUUCCAAGGAUCAACUUGCUGACAUCUUCACCAAGCCAUUGCCUUUGCCACAGUUUGAGACUUGCAGGCGCAAUCUUACCCUUCUAGAUUCAUUAGAAAGUGGCUAAGAUUGAGGGAGGGUGUUAGACUGUAUUUACAUGUGUAUAUUGUAACGUUGUAUAUCACCUCAUUAUAUAUAUAUGUGAUAGGCCACCCCUAGAGGGUUGUGCCGGUUCCCCCCAAAGCCUAUUGUCUUACACUGUGCAUGCGUAUUUCAUUGUUUUUACGUAUCACGAAGGUCCUUUAUUGUUACGUAACUUGUCAUUACACACACAAGCACAACAGCUCCGUUAUUCUGCGGGGUAGGUAGCGAGAGACGCAUGCAUGUUGUCUAUCCGGGACGGUCCACAUGACAUCGUUUCUUCAGUAGAUACGUACGUACGCAUGUGUGGAUAUCUCGAUCUCCCCGCGUACGUGCACGAGCCAUGCAUGGCGCGCGCUGGCUGGCUGGCUCAGUAGUACGGCUGGAGCUUCCAGCGCUGGUUGUCGCCCUCGCACCACUUCCAGAGCACGACCUCGGUGCCGUCGCGCACGCCGCCGUGGUACUUGUCGCCGUUGAGGGCGUCGAAGUUGAGGUAGAUGUUGUUCACCAUGCGCACGCACCUGAACCCGUUGCCCACGUCCCUGCUCUCCGUCCACAGCACCGACUCGUCCAGGUAGUCUGGGUUGUACGGCACCAGACGCACCUGCAUGCACACCAAGAUGAUUCUAGAUUUCAGUUUAUGAAAACACAAAUGAAUGAAGGCAGCAGAGACUACUUACAGGGUGUGACUGGCCGAGGGAGUGCUUGAUGGCCUGCCCGGUGGCCUUGUUCACCAUGGCGAAGGCGGGGUAGCCCUCCUCGUCCUUGAUGCUGGUGCUCCACCUCAUGUCCUUGAUCCAGUGCUGGUAGUCGUCCUUGGGGUUGGCCGGCGCCAGCACCACCUUGCCGUUGCGCACGGACAUGGCGUAGUUGGGGUUGGCGCGGCAGUAGAUCUUCACCGUGGGCUGCGGCGGCAUCGGCCGCCCGCCGCAGUUGCCGUCGAUGUUCACCUGCGACAUGCCGUACGGCACCGGCGCCGCGUACCCGGGCGUCGCCAUCCCGUACCCGCCGUAGGUCUCGCGGUAGUAGUCCAUGGCUAUAUGCUCGAUCUCCUGAUCGACCUGCGCAAUGCAUGGCGACGGGACGGAGGAAUUUAUAGGGGCGACGGGACGAUCAUAUUCCAUUGGUGUGCUCUAAUACAUGGCGUUGGCCUCACGCUGCCUGUCAUGGUGAUAAGCGAUGUGGAUGUGCGGGGUGGUGGUGGGAUUCCAUGGAGCGAUUCCGUGGGAUAGACAGAUGAUGCCAUGGGACACUAGCUAGCUAGGUGGUGAGAUGUGGGUGUGCCGGACCAAGCUAGAGCCUGAGCUGGCUAGCUUUGCGUGAUUCGAUUUCUUUCUGGUAGUUUUGGGAAGAAGAAUCCCUCUCGUACGUACGUCCUCUAUUAUUGCUGGGGAGAUAGCUAGGGGAAGCCGAAUUUUACUAUGUGCUGUGCUUUGUCGCCGCACCGAUACAUUCCCGGUGUGCUCAUGAUGUGCUCGUUUCAAAAGUGAAGAUUUUUCUCCCGAAGAAAACUCUAAAGAAAAGAAAAGGAAAUAUUCGCGAUAGAAAUGGUAAGGUAAAGCGUCAAGACGGAACGGCCCAUUUCUGGAAUCUGGAUCAAUAAUUCAAUAUACUACCCCCCGCAGCACCAGAGAGAGGCGGGCCGGACUUGAUUUCGUUAUUAUGUAAAUUAAACAAUUGUACGUGGCCCGGCAAGACAUAUGGCAUUGGAUUCGUAUAAUCAUGGCCCGGUCUACCAGCAUGGCCCAGCGCAAGACAAGAUCUCAAAAAACAAAACUUACCGGGGCAUGCGGAUUAACUGAGCUCCAGCUCGGGUGAACAGUAAAAUCCAAAAGAAUUUAAAACAAAUUAAAUAAUUCUAAAAAAACUGUGGCAACAUUUGACAAAUGUUUAAAUGCCUGCAAAGUUUCACCAUAAAAUGAGAUCCGUGCAAGUUGUAGCAAAACAAAACCCCAAAAUCAAUGCUCCAAAAAGUUUUUUUCUAAGUGACUAUUUUUUUUUGCCACGACUUCAUGAAACAUUGCAAACAUUGAAAAUAUUUGUCAAAGUUUGUCACACAAAAAUUUCAGAAUUUUUUGCUUUUGUUUUCAUUUUUUUUUGGAUUUUACUGUUCACCCGAGUUCAUAUGAGUUCGAGCUGAGAACGGCACUUUCGCUUAUGAGGUUGUAUAGUUCAAUCAAUUUUUCAAGACCUUCAAGAUUAGUUUAGUUUGAGCUGAUAUGGUCUUCUGGCAAAGGGCAUCUUCAACGCUGAAAGGGCAUUUUCAACGCUGACUCCCAAAUCGGACAUACCAAAUUCGUCCGUGGACUGGUGGGUAUCAUUCUGUGGAAAGUGAUGCGGGAGCCAGUCAUUCAACCGUGCCCGCAUACAUCUCAAACCGGAUUUCAACAAACCGAAGGAAGUACACGCAAAUCAAAUGAUUUUCAUCUAAAUUGGAGCACAUUCAUUACAUUUUCGUCAUAUUUUCAUUAAACUAGCAUUUACAUGUCAAUGCCUCUUCUUAUUCCCUUUUUUUGGAGUCCUUUUCAACAUGUUUUGUGUAUUUUAUUCUCACGGUGGCAACUGAAUUUUGAAGGAAAUUUGUAGAUUGCUUAAGUGGCAAUAGUAUGGAAACAAAAUCUAGGACUUUUCAUGACCAAUUGCCCUAGUUCUUUAGAAUGGCAUCAUUUUAUUUCUUCGGGAGCUUUCGAAUGGUAUCAUGGUGUAAUGUAAAGGCUAGUAUCACUACAAGGAGGUUGCUAUACAUGGCAUACUCAUUGCAAAGAGCACUUUCCCUGCAUUUGUUCCUGUGGAAAACUUGUCUUGCAAAUCGUUAAGGCCUUGUUCGGUUCCAUGAUAAAUGAGAGGGAUUGACAUGUAUCGGCAGGGAUUAAAUCCCAUCUAGUUCAAANNNNNNNNNNNNNNNNNNNNNNNNNNNNNNNNNNNNNNNNNNNNNNNNNNNNNNNNNNNNNNNNNNNNNNNNNNNNNNNNNNNNNNNNNNNNNNNNNNNNNNNNNNNNNNNNNNNNNNNNNNNNNNNNNNNNNNNNNNNNNNNNNNNNNNNNNNNNNNNNNNNNNNNNNNNNNNNNNNNNNNNNNNNNNNNNNNNNNNNNNNNNNNNNNNNNNNNNNNNNNNNNNNNNNNNNNNNNNNNNNNNNNNNNNNNNNNNCAAAUCCCCUCCAUUCCACUCCAAUCCACUUGGGGAGUGGCUUAACCAAGGCCUAAAGGGAAAAUUUAACGGACUAGUUCUCACAUUUCAACUCCAUGUUAGAGGCACAACUUGAGCUUACAGUAUGAUUUUCAAGUAUGGAAUUUAGAUACAGUAUUUCUAAGGAGAGUACACAUUUCCCCUCGCAAAAUCAAGCCUGUUUGAUCUGAGAAAUUGGGCAUGGCAGAAGCUGAUGAACAAGCAAGGCCCCAACGGGUACAACAAACGUAGUACGAGGAGGGUGGAAGAUAGGUGAGCCCAUUGAUUAGAUCGCAGAAAAACGGAGACAAUGCAGGUCACAGAGUAGCACAGUACAGGGCCCAGUACCAAGAAAACACAGACGAGUUACAUCAAAGUUCAGACUUCGGAAUCAUGGUCCCUCUCCUCACUCUCUCCAACACUCUCUUCUUCCUCGCAGAAACGCCGGCUCAAUCAUUCAAUCACAAGGCGACACACGCACACAGACACCAUUGCCACACAUCGCACACGGUUUUAUUUGGACACAGCAACAUUAUUCGCUACCAGCGGCAGAGGACUACGACGACGACGGACGGACGGACGGACGGACGGCGACUAGGACGACUUGGGGGGCUUGUCCCCGGACUAAUCCAUGGCGAUGUGUCGAUGGCAAUGCGGCAGCUCAUCUCUGCACGAAGCAACAAUUCACUGGUCAGAACACAGAUGCAAGCAAGAUGUAUCAGGUUGAACUGCAGAGCAGUACGACUAUAGUACUUACACCAGGGGAGGAUCUUCCAGCGCUGGUUGUCGCCCUCGCACCACUUCCAGAGCACGAUCUCGGUGCCGUCGUGGACGCCGCCGUGGGCCUUGUCGCCGUGGAAGGCGUCGAAGUUGAGGUAGAUGUUGUUCACCAUGCGCACGCAGCGGAAGCCCUUGCCCACGUCUCGGCUCUCCGUCCACAGCACCGACUCGUCCUGGUACGCCGGGUUGUACGGCACCAGCUUCACCUGCACAUGCACGCACCAUCAAUUACAGAUCUUCAGUAAGAACUGCCGCC
rnacentral:lncRNA from 1 species